UGGCAAAGACACAGAUCUGAAGUGAUAGUGUUAAAAAGAAACAAGAGAGACUAAGGCAAGCGAAACAAAAAAAACCUUUCUUUUUCACUCGAAGCCCUAAUUCAUUCUCCUCUCCGUUCUCUGUGUUCUCCAUUUUCCGUUCACUCACCAUGACGAAGCAACACGCUAAUUGGUCUCCAUACGAUAACAAUGGAGGGUAAGGUUCUCUCUCUAAUGAGUAUUUUCAAUUUUUCAUAAGUUGAUUUGUUAUUUUCAUUUUGCAUAGAUCAUGUGUUGCAAUUGCUGGAGCAGAUUACUGUGUUAUCGCAGCAGAUACCAGGAUGUCCACCGGUUACAACAUCCUCACUCGGGAUUACUCCAAAAUCUCCCAAUUGUAUGAUUUCCCCUCCAAUUAAUUUUCGCCCUAAAUAAUAACUUUUUUUUUUCCUGAAAUUCGAUUGGGUUUUAUUAUCGCUUAUUUGAUUUUCUUGAUCUUAGCAUUGCACAAGGGACUUUGUUUGUUUGUGCUGUUUAAGUAUGUGAACUAAGGUUUCUAUUGUUUCGCGACAGAGCGGAGAAGUGUGUGAUGGCUUCUUCUGGUUUUCAAGCUGAUGUGAAAGCCUUGCAGAAGGUUUUGUCUGCCAGGCAUUUGGUGAGCCAAAAACUCAACGAUUGAAACAACUGAUUAGUGUUACUUAACGCUUGUGAAUACUUUUGGGGUUGCUUUUGCAAUUUACAAACUAUAUUCUUUGCUUAAUCUCUUAGUGUGUGUUCUGUCCGCUAGUUUAUCUAUUUUGAUGUUUGAUGUAUGAUUGGGUCCAAUGUAGUUUGUUUUCAACCUCCCCGAUAAAAUAACUCGUGGUACUAUGAAAUGAUAAACCUAGAGUAAAUAUGUUGGGCAAAUGAGCAAAAGUGUCAAUAAUAUGUUAUUAUUUGUGGAAGUAAGGUGUUGAAGGUAUAUGUUGAUAUUUUUCAUGGUGUAAUGGAUUGAUUUAAUCAUACUUGGUUUAGCUUAUAUAAUCAUUGAAUUUUACCAGCUUUCCUUCUAAUCGGUGUUUUGAAAAAUGUGAUUAUUUUGUUAAACUUGAGUUAUCCCAGACUAACACUAAUAAAGCUUCUAGUUUUUUUUCCUACGUAUAUUAUCGGAUUAGUUGUUUUUUGUUUUAGAUUUAGUUGUAAGCUGUAAACAUCAAUGAAGCCUCUACACACAAAACCCAUCACUAAUUGCCACCAUCUAGAACAUGUAAUAAAUGCCGACAACAGGAAGCAGACUGUCAACACCAAAUCCACCCACGGCCAAAUAUUUAACCAUUCUACAUGACAUGCAUUUGCAUGUAUCCUCAGUGGAACAACCGCGAAAAUCAAAAUUUAGAUGAAAAUACAAUAUUUUAAGUACUUCUCCAUUUUAGUCUGUCUGUAUGCCUAUACUGUGCUCGUAGAUUUAAAUUAGGUUGAAACCUAAAAUUACUAAAUUUUCUUGAUUAGAUCGUAAGGUACUUAGCAGCUUGCCAUUUGAAUUUUAGGGUCAAUGGUAUCAUCUAAUACUUUGAAGUUAGAGUUACUUAUGAGCCAUCUCACAGUUUAUUAUACGUAUCCAAUUAUGUCCAGUCACUAAAGUGUUUAUUGGCUUCCCUCUUUCCCAUUUCUAUUAAAUUCUAAAACAUUCCAGAGUUAGACACUGUUAUGUUAGCUACAUGAUCAAAAUUUCAAUGCAUUUUAGUAAUAGUAGGCCCCUCAAUAACCAUGAUGGAAAGAACUGUGGAUAUUUGGACCCUCUUUUUAUUAUUAUAAUUACAAUAUUUUCCAGCAUAUAGGUGUUUGAAAUUAUUGAUAAGGAAGCACAUCUGAAGGGAUAUUUAGAAGAUUAGUACUGAAAAUGACUUGUAGAUUUGUAUAAAGUAAUAGUUUUAGGGUGGAUUUGUGUCCAAUGAAAGGAAGGAUCUUCAUGGAUUUGCAUAAAGAAAUCACAAGCAUUAUAAGUCAGAGGAAAAGGGGAAGGUAUAAUGUACAUAUGCUUGCUUGAUCUGAGUUAGGGAAUACAUACAUAAUGAUUUUCUGCCCUAGUAGUGACAACUUAAUAUUGAUGUGUACCAUAAAGAAUGGGUCUUGACUUUGCCUCAAGUUUUAUACCUUUACAUUUUGCAUUUAUAUUCCCCCCUCUCCAGACCCCACUAGAGGAGAGUCUGGGCUCUGGGCUACCCUUUUAUGUUGUAAAACUAGGGAAACUGCUGUAUUAGACCCUAAUUUGUUAUGUACCUUCAGUUUACCAUGACAAAAUGCUUGGAAGCCUUUGGUGGACUGAUGUGAUAUCAUCUUUUGACUCUGAAUGCAGACUUAUCAGCAUCAACACAACAAACAAAUGAGCUGCCCUGCAAUGGCUCAGCUUCUCUCAAACACACUUUACUACAAACGCUUCUUUCCCUAUUAUGCAUUCAAUGUUUUGGGUGGCCUUGACAAAGGGAUGUGUUUUCACAUAUGAUGCCGUUGGUUCCUAUGAGAGGGUUGGAUAUAGUUCUCAGGGUUCUGGAUCCACACUUAUUAUGCCAUCUCUUGAUAACCAGCUGAAGUCUCCUAGCCCACUCCUGUUACCUGCCGUGGUAACAUUCUGAAAUUGGUGCUUUGCUUGAAAUAUUUGAUUCUUCAAGUUUUAUGGACUGACACCUAAUUAAAAAUAUUAUUUCUUUCAGGAUGCUGUUACUCCACUGUCUGAAGCAGAAGCAGUUGAUCUGGUCAAAAGCGUUUUUGCAUCUGCAACUGAGAGAGACAUAUACACGGUAAGUUUGUCUGACAUACAUAAUUACCAUUUGGCUGCAAUGAACUUGCAACUUAAUGUGAAUGUUUUUACAGGGAGACAAGGUUGAAAUCCAGUGGUCUUCGUGAAUACAUGGACCUAAGGAAAGACUAAUGCUCUACAGUAUGUUUGAAAUGCUUCUGGAAUUUUACAUUGGGUUUUUCCCAUGAGUCGAAAUUAAGAAUAGCAUUUCUCGUGAAAUUGCUUUGAACAAGUAUUACUCUGUUCGCAUUAUAACUAGACUGUGAUUUCACUUAUAUUUGCAUUGGAUUUUUUGUCGUAGUCUAAUUUAUAGCUUUAGUGUGCAUGUUUGGUCUAGUUGUAACCUGUUUGGUUGCUCUGUCCAUCUCUCACGAUUGCGUUGUGUUUUGCCUCGUACGUCCCCAAAUAUUUUCUCAAAAUUACGUUAUAAACCAUUAAGUUAAGGUAUAAAUAUGGCCCUUGAGGUGGCUAGUUUUCAAUUCGUUGGAGUCUUCUAGCGAUGAACAGUGGGAUUGAACAAUUUCAAAAGACACCAAACUUUUUCUUCAAAUUGAAUGAAUAUCCAGAUUCCAAAUGCAUUAAGAACCGACUUAAAAAAAAUAUCGAGCAUAGUAGAAAAUAUCCAAAAUCAUGAAGAAUGUAUUUUUGAAACAGAACACAAAUAAAGAUUUUUGAAAUAAGGAGAUUCAGUGUGGAUUGAACUCAGUGAAGGAGUAGAAUGUGGAGCAAUUAAUGAAGUUCAUGAAGGGAACAUCUUCGUUUCAUUCCUUCCGCAAGGUUUUGAAGUAGGUAAUAAUGAUUUUUACAAUUCCAAUAUUCCAAAAUUUGUUGCUAGUGAUUCUGUGAGAUUAGCUAGUAGAAAAGUACAAAGUAUUUCCUAUAAUAGCUUCAUACAGCUGAAUUCAUCUGAUCAUAGUUGCUUAGAUGCUGAUGUGAUUUCUGCAUUACUUUGUUUAUAGUAUCCUGUAUUGAGAUGUUCAUCCUUUCUUCUCCAACUUCCUGUUGCUGUGCCUGUCAGAAACUGAGAUGUUUUCAUCAGAAAAUGUUUAAGGAAAAUAUGUUUUUAGUAGUAAUAAAUUAGAGAUCUCUGAUUUCUACAAAUUUUCUUUAUUUUAUUUAUAAAAUGUGUGUAUUUUGAUUUUAGUAAAUGUAAAAGAUUUUUCUUUGAAUUUCAUCUCUAAAAUAAUUUAAAUCACUAUUUUAGUUCUUAAUAUUAAUUUUAAAAUAGGAAAAUAUUUAUUUUAAAGAUUUAAUUUUUUUUUUAAGUAUCACGUGUUGAUAUUAUAUUACAAUACUAUGCUUAGAGUGCUUGCUUGACCUUUUGUUCAAUUUAUAAGCAGUUAACUAAGGUCAUAAUAAAAUGAAAGAAAAAAACCAUCUUAUUCAAAAUCCCAACUAUGAACUUUCUUAUCUUCCCUUGCAAAUAUGAGAAUGCAUUAUUCAUAUAGGGUGAGAAACACUUACAAUUAUCAAAAAUAUAAAUUUUUAAAUUUGGACACAAAAGUAAAGAAAAAAAUUUAGAGGGAUCAAAAUUAUAACUCAUUCAUUUCAUAAGAACUAAAUAUUUAGGUUAAUAAAAAACAAUAUUUGAGUCACUUAAAUUUGAUUCCUCGUAUCAUCUGAAAAACAUGCAUAAAAUAAUAUUUUUCUUAAUGAUGACUUUUCUUUUUACCUUCAAAAUUUUGCUUUUUUAUACCACACGAAUGUAGUUUUUCAUUUGAACUAUUGCUAGGGAUGGCAAUACGGGAUGGGCCAUGCAGGUCGAUCCGCAGUUUGUUAGCAAAAAAAUGUGGGAUCAGAUCAAUAAUUCAACUCGCUGAUCCGUUUAAGCCCGACUCACAUAACUCGUGAUCCGCGCAAGUUAACCGUUCUAUACAUUGUGUGUUGUUCUGUCAUUGUCAACCUAAAUUAAAACAAAAUUUUAUUAGAAUAGACCCCUUAUAAUGCAAAAGAUUUUGGUAGUACAUAUUAAAUGGUUGACAAUAAAUUAAUUGUGGAGUAGUUAUGUCAAACACCUAUGUUUUUAUACAUUCAAAAUAUAGAAAGAGAAACAUAUCACUAAUAGGAUUAUAUUUUAUUUUGUACAAUGACCAUUUAUUUUGUAGGAUGUCAUUUAUUUUAUACGAUGACCGUAUUGGUUGAAUCAUUCAUUUUAAUUUACACAAUUGAACAACUGAAAACAUGAAUUGGUAGUACAUAUUGAAUGGUUGACAGUAAAUUAAUUGUGGAGUCAAACACCUAUGUUUAAAUACAUUCAAAGUAUAGAAAGAGAAACAAAUCAAUAAUGUUUUUUCAAAUAGAACUGAACUAAUACUUAUUGAACCAUCAUUUCUUUCUCCCUAUUUAUUGUGAGAGUAUGAUCAUAUUUUAUUUUGUAUGAAUGACCACACUAGUUGAACCAUUAAUUCUAAUCUAACAAAACAUUAGCAAUGCAAAAGGUAACAAAUAUUUUGAUUGAAUUUCUUUAUAUUCAAUUUUUCAGUAACAAAUAUUUUUAUUGAAUUUUUAAAACAAAAAAAGAAAAACACUAUAAGCAGGCUGGCCCGCAGACCCAUGAGUUGGUCCAUAUACGGGGCAAGGCAGAGAAAUUAGUCCACGUUCAUUACACGGGACGGACCAAAUGCGGGACAGACCUAUGCAGAACAAGUCAGUCCACAUUGUCAUCUCUACUUGGUGUAGUUUAAUUUGUAUGGGUGUUGUUCACUUUACUUCAAUGGUUGUUUCUUCCUGCACCCCUACGUUUUUCUUCCUGCAUCCCCAUAAUAUUAUGCAAAGACAAAAAUAAACCUAUUAUUUUUAAAAAAUCCCAAAAUGCAACACUACUCUUUCUUGUCCACUGCACACACGAAUUUCAUUUCUCUCUGAAUAGCGGCGGCGUUGCUCCAUCUCUUAGCACAGGAAGGUGUUUCUUUUGAUGGUGGUCGGUAGUGUCUUGGAUUAUCGUUUCGUAGUUUAUAUCUAGUAUUUCAGACAACGAAGUUCGGUAAUUUUACAGAAUCAGGAAUCCACAUUUGUUUUUUCACAUUCCGGAUUUGGAAAUCCAUAAAUCUUCCAGAUUGGGGAAUCCAUAAAUCUUUCGGAUUGGAGAAUUCAUAAAUCUUUUGGAUCCAUCAAUCUGUAACAUUAAUUAGGUUUCCAGAUUUAGUAUCCAAAAAUAAACAAUUUAUUAAAAUUUUCUUUCGGAACACCUCCUCAUCCGGAAAACAACAUGAUUCACUUCUGGAUUGAUGAAUUCGUAACACACUCCACCACGGUACCCUUUUUCAAAUAAAAUGUCAAGGCCAGUUUUGACAUUUUUAAAAUUGUAGAGGUGCAGGAAGAAAAACGUAGGGGUGCAGGAAGAAAAACAUAGGGGUGCAGGAAGAAAUAACCUACUUCAAUGAUGGUAAAAAUGCAAAUAACCAGGCUAUUAAGUGAUGUAUAAAUGUUAAUACACAGAGAGGCAAGGAAUUUUCUUUUACAUUUGUCAUAUUUUCCUCACUUUGUUGGAUAUAUAAAGAGGAGGAUGUUUACUAAUGCAUUAUGAGUGAAUAACAUAAAUAAUUUUAAAUCAUGCUCAAAGUAAAAUAUUAAAGUACUAAGUUUUUUUUCACUCACUUCAAAUUUACAUUUCUACUCAUCCAAUUCUGUCACUAAUACAAAUCAUUAAUUCUAGUACCAUGUAUUGAUAAUCCAACAGAAAUAAACACUAACAAAAUAUUUACAAGUUAAUACACUCCACUCAUAUCACAUAAUAGUUUCUAUUAUGUGGGUUUUAUACAUAAUUUAAUAUUUAACCUUUUAACAUUAAUUUUAAAAAAAUUAUGAAUUAUUUCAAUUUUUGAAGGAGUGAGUAAGGAUGCAUAUUAUAUAUAUAUAUUUAAAGUUAAAAAACAUUUAUAAGUCCGUCUAGCUCAGUUGGUAGAGCGCAAGGCUCUUAACCUUGUGGUCGUGGGUUCGAGCCCCACGGUGGGCGUUUUUCUUUGUUUUUAUUUUUGAGAGAGUGUGAAACGAAUAAGUGAGAAUGUCAAAUUAUAAAAGGCUAUAAAAUUUGUCUUAUAUAAAUUUAUUUCUUUCCUAUUUUAAAGAAUAUAUAUUUAUUUUGUUUUAAAUUCUUGAAAGCAUACAUGUGAGGAAUCUAAAUUUUGUUAUAAUUUGUGUCUAAACUUGGAAAAUCCAUAGUAUUAUAAUAACACUUAAUAGAUAUUUCAUUGAAUUGGAAGUGGGUUUAUCUGAGGAGAUUAUGAGCACUAUUUAACUUUAGGAAAAAGCCUUGAGCCAAUAAUAUAUUAGCUUUUUGCAGAUUUCUAAUUCGGACACCUUUCCACAUAACCUUUCUUUCAUAUUUAACACAAAAAUUCAUCAAAAAGCUAAAUGCAUUAUCAACUUUGUGCAAAAAAUGGAAAGAAUAAAGUCACCACUUUUCUGUAUUCUUGUUCAUGAAGUUAUUCCCAUUAAAAUAUGGUAAGUGACACCGACUAAGUAAAACAUUCAGUCAACGUGACUAAUACACAACAUUUUAUUCCAUCCUCACUUAGAAAUAUCUUUUUUUUUCUAAUUAUGCCCUCUUUUAAAAAUAAAUAAUACUUAUUAAAUUUUAAAGCAAAUAAUACUUAUUAAAUUUUAAAGCAAAUAAUACUUCAAACAAUAUUAGUGUAUUUGAGAUCAGCACAUGUUUAUAUUUCAACCAGAAGAUUAUUUUACUUUGAUUUUAAAAAAUUAAAAAAGUAAUUCUAAAGUUUAAAGAGUAAUAUAUAUAUAUUCACAUCACUUUUUUUCACUUUUGAUUGAACGUGUUCUUUUGUCUAUUUGUCCCUACUUAUCUUGUCAAGUCUACAAAGUCGUCUCAUAAAUUAUUUGAUUUUUAUUUUUUUUCUUAACUUUAGAAACUAAUAUUUUAAAGAGUAAUUAUCCAAUUUUGAAAAAGGUUGUGGUCCCAACCAAUGAGACAAUAACAAGUUGUUUAUGAAUUUAGUCUAUGAAUGUUUUUCCACCGCAUUCGGUAGAAUAUUUUUAGUGCAUUAUUUUCUGUUUGAUAGUGAUGUUAAUAAAUUUGGAUGCAUCUCCAGUCAUAUGUUAUUGGAGCAGUUAUUGUCUAUAUAUUAUAAAUGUUAUUUUCUCACAAAAUUCAAAAUCAGGUGGCAAGAUCCGGUUUCCUUAUAAAUUUCAUGUUAAUUUGAUUCCAAGAAACUUUAGGAUUCUUAGGAACCCAUUUUAAGAUACCUUUGGGAAUAGAAAAUUUUCUAAUUUUACAGAAUCUAACAGAUUGGUCAUUUCUCAUACAGUAGAAACAACAAACAACCGAUUGAUUCGACCUUUUAACUGAUUGAUUUUUUGUGAUGGUUGAAAAAGGUUUUGAACAACUACUAUUUUUGCUUUGUGGGUUAAAACCCAAACCAGAUUUCGAUUUUCAAAAACAGCAUUUGAAUUACUUAAAUCUUUUUCCAUAACUUUGAGUUUCUCUUUCAACCAAUUGUUUUCACUUUUCAACCGAUUAUUUGAAAGGGUUAAUCUUUUAGCUUCUUCAUGAGUUUCUUGGAAAGCAUUAAGAAGUUGAAAAUAAUUUUCACAAUUAUUGGAAGAAGAUGUACUUACUUGGUUUGAUCCAAAUUUUUCUUUUGCCAUAAGACAGACUUCCAUCUUGAAUUUUGAAGAAGAUGAUUCAACAUAGGGCUCAUCCUUGUCCAGCCAGGCAUUCCUUGGGUUCUUGUGAUAUUUCUCAAGAGUAUCCCAUAUUUCUUUGGCUCAGAUACAUUAUGAAACGUUGAAAAGUUCAUCAGAAUCAAGGGCAGAGACAAUUAUGUUCUUAGCUAUACAAUCAAGGUGGUCUCAUUCAGUUUUAGAUGAUGCAAAAUUAUUUUCAGACAUAUGUAUGAAAGCAUUGUUUGAAAUAACAUUCCAGAUUUCUUUAUCUAAUGAAUCAACAAAGAAUUUCAUUCUUAUACACCAAAGCUUAUAAUUUUCACCACAUAACAGAGGUGGUUUGUUUAGAGAGGAACCUUCCCCAAAAGAAAACUUACUAGCCAUUAAAAACAGUUUUCAAAAAAACAGAAACGAAAACUUGAAUAUUUUCCAAGAACAUAGCUCUUGAUGCCAAUUGUAAGAAUUGAUGGCUUAAACAAGAGGGGGGUGAAUUGUUUAUCAAAGAUUUUCGCAAAGAUUGAAUAAGAAAGAACCUUUAUCAAACAACCACAAAUAAGCAAUAAAGGAAAGCAAUCAAACAAUGAUUCAAAAACUGUUUACAAAAUUUAAACCGCUUGAAAAUACGUUUUAAUCGAUUGUUUAUAUCAGCAGCAAAAGCAGAAUUAAAACAAACAGUUAUAAGAAGUUAGAGAGAGAGAUUUACAUAGCCAAUUUUAUACUGGUUCACUCAACCUUGAGCUACAUCCAGUUCCCGAUUGUCUGAUUUUGUAUUAGUAAUUUAGUACAUAACUAUUCUUCAGACUUUCAUUAUUUUCUAGACUUUAUCAAGGGUCUAUGUGUAAUGUGAUUUUAGUUCUAAUAGAAAUCUUUUCACCUUUAGUUUUGUGCUUAUGUCUUCACAUUGAAGGCUUUCUACAUCAUACCCAAGAGGAUCAACAUUAUUUUAUUUUCUCUCAUACUACUUGUUGUACCACUGUUAUAGAUUAAUAUAAAAGGUUUCUUUAAGUUGAUUUCUUGGAUGGUAACUAUAUCUAUAUCUUGUGAUGCAUAUUAAAAUUAAUUUCUCUUGACACCUUAUAUAUAAUAUUAUCUACUUUGAUGUAAAACAUUUAUUUUCUAUCAUUCAUCUGUAAGUAAUUUACUAGUUAUAAAUAAAUUGGUCACUUGUUCCCAGAAUAAAUUUAGCUAGGUUGUAUGUGCAUUUGUUUUAACUUGUUAGGUGUUGUUGAUGAAACUCUCAACCUCAUAAAUGGAAGGGAGGUUAUGGUGUGAAUGUGUACUUCUUCUUCCUUCCUCUUCCUCAUGUAUAUGACAAAUAAUGGAGACCUAUUGCAUCUCCAAGGGCUCAUAUUUUGGUAAGGAGUAAGAUUACUCUUAUAUGUUUUGCGCAAACAUAUCUACAGUGUUUCUAAUUAUGUAAUGAUCCACUAAUCAUGUCUAUCAUUAUCAAAUUAAUUGUGUAUAGUUGCGUAUAAUAAGUAUGUACAAUAAUUGUGUAUAAUUUAAUAAUCAUUAUUUCCUUAAUAAACUGUAUAAGCGAAAUUGUUUAAAGUGUCUUGGGUAGUAGUAAUAAAUAAAUUACGUACACAUAAUUGUGUAUAAUUGCGUAUAAUUUCAUAAUUAAUACAUAGGUCUUUAUUUUGAGGCUAAAAUGAUUGAGUCAAUAUACUUAUUUUGUUCAUAUUAACAUUAUGCAUGCACCACCUACUAACACUUCAACCAACAUGCCCCACCUAUCACACCCCAACAAAUGCAUGCACCACCUACUGAUAUUAAGGAAAAACUGCAUGAAGGUAUCAUGUUGUUUAUAAAUAUAUUCACUAGUUUUAGUUGCAUGAAGGUAUCUUUUUGCUUAUACAUAAAUUCACUAGUUUUAGUUUUCUCUUUUGUAGAAAAAAUGAAUUGUUCAAACUCCGCAAAGAUGAAUGCCAAGUUCAAAGAGGAGAGGGACAAGAUCAUGGAGGAUCUAGCAAAUAUCACAGCGGAGAAGGCCAUGCACGUAGAGUAGAUGGUCAAGCUCUCAUAUGUCAAUACUCCACUUUCACUUCUUUCUUUCAUGUGAGAUUAUUAAUAUAUGAUGUUGAACCUUUUGUGGAAGAAUUUGAAUCAUUAGGUUGUUUGGAAUACCUCUUUCUUUGCUGAGUUCUGUCACGGUUUUUCUUUCUAAGAAACCUGCUGAAUUUUCUGGUGAGCAGACUCACGUUCUCAUCAUGUUCAGAAUCACCUUCUUCCUCACUUGUAUCAUGUUCCAUGGUAGUUUUCAGAGCAAUUCCUUUGGCCUUCUUCUCCACUGUUUCUUGUUCUUUCAAUCUUUUCAGCUCAAUUUCAUGCUCUAUCAGCUUUCCAAAAAGUGCAGCAGUGGACAUCUUGGAUAAAUCUCUGGAUUCUGAGAUUGCUGUUACCUUAGGCUGCCAGCUCCUAUCAAGACAUUUUAAUACCUUAAUAUUAAGCUCUUCCUUGUCAAAGACUUUACCAAGGCCAGUGAGGUGAUUUAAAAUGUGUGUAAAUCGUUUCUGCACAUCUGCAAUACUUUCUUCAGAUUGCAUUCUGAACAGCUCGUACUCCUGAAUUAGUGAGUGCUUCCUUGCCCGUUUCACAUCAUCAGUCCCUUCAUGAGUCACCUCUAGUACAUCCCACAUCUCCUUUGCUGAGUUACAUUGAGAGACUCUAAAGAACUCAUCCAUAUUCAGUGCAGAGGUGAUGAUAUUCUUGGCCAAGGAGUCAUAUUGGGCCUUCUUCUUCUCGGUUUCACUCCAUUCAGACCAAGGCUUCUUUAUUGUUUCAUCUUUGACAACCUGCAUAGGUAUGAAAGGUCCACUGACCACUGCAUCCCAGAUUCCCAUGUCAAUAGACUCCAUAAAGAUCUUCAUCCUGAUUUUCCAGAAAGCAUAGUUAACACCACCAAACAUAGGAGUUCUAUUAAUAGACGCACCUUCAGCAAAAGGCAUUUUAAACUCAGACAUCAUACACUUGAGCAAAAUACAAGCCCUAGCUCUUGAUACCAAUUGCUGGGUCUAUUAGUGUCUAAGUUCAAGAGGGGAGGGGUGAAUUGAGCUUAUAAAAUUUUCGCAAGAUCACACAAUUUNNNNNNNNNNNNNNNNNNNNNNNNNNNNNNNNNNNNNNNNNNNNNNNNNNNNNNNNNNNNNNNNNNNNNNNNNNNNNNNNNNNNNNNNNNNNNNNNNNNNNNNNNNNNNNNNNNNNNNNNNNNNNNNNNNNNNNNNNNNNNNNNNNNNNNNNNNNNNNNNNNNNNNNNNNNNNNNNNNNNNNNNNNNNNNNNNNNNNNNNNNNNNNNNNNNNNNNNNNNNNNNNNNNNNNNNNNNNNNNNNNNNNNNNNNNNNNNNNNNNNNNNNNNNNNNNNNNNNNNNNNNNNNNNNNNNNNNNNNNNNNNNNNNNNNNNNNNNNNNNNNNNNNNNNNNNNNNNNNNNNNNNNNNNNNNNNNNNNNNNNNNNNNNNNNNNNNNNNNNNNNNNNNNNNNNNNNNNNNNNNNNNNNNNNNNNNNNNNNNNNNNNNNNNNNNNNNNNNNNNNNNNNNNNNNNNNNNNNNNNNNNNNNNNNNCCAGUCUCACCUAACCCCAAGGUGGAAUCCACUAAAAACAGUACCAAUUACUUACAAACUCAGCAGUUCUUGAACACUACAAGAACAACACCAACAAUGCUGAAAAACCCUAUUUCAGCACACCUUGCACUCCAAGAAACCCUAUCAAGGAGUGACUAACACUUACACCUUUACAAAACAGAAUAAAGGAAAGAUUACACCUGAAAAGAAGAUGCAAGAACUCAAAACCAAUAGUUCAAUUUGCUGCAGAACUGCACCAACACCUUCACCAAGAUCAAAGGUUUCCUAGAACAAGCACACUUGAAAAUCUCUUUGGAAAACCUUUCAAAAAUCUUUCAAUCCUUCUUCUCACAUGGAAAAUGUUUGAUCUCUGUCAAAAACGUAAUUGCUCAGCUUCAUUUAAUGUGAGAGAGACUUUUCUUUAUAUAGAAAAAACAGUUUCUAACUUGUUUUCAAAAAAACAGUUUCUAACUUGUUUUCAAAAAAACAGUUGAAAAGCAGUUAUGAAAACAACAGAUUCAUUUUUGAACUUAACAGAUUUAUUUUGUGAAAACCGCCAACUCAGCUAACUGAAAUAACUGUCUGAGUUGUACCUUUCGUGCCCUAACUAACUUGUGAAAAACCUUUUAACUGACCAAAAGGGCAAACUGAUUCUUUCACAGUGAAACAGAUUAAAUGAGAGCAAAUAGGCCAGCUCAGCUUUAACUGAAAUAACGACCUAAGCUUUGCCUGUGGUGNNNNNNNNNNNNNNNNNNNNNNNNNNNNNNNNNNNNNNNNNNNNNNNNNNNNNNNNNNNNNNNNNNNNNNNNNNNNNNNNNNNNNNNNNNNNNNNNNNNNUAAAACAGAUUUAUUUGUGUACUGAUUUAAAACUUUUAAAAACAUUUUAAAAAGCUUUUCAAAAACCAUUUAACCACAUCAUGUGCUUGAUCUAGACUUGGUUAGGCAUCUAGGAUAGGUUAUACAGCAAAAGGCACAAUUACAAGCCUAAUUACAAACGAAUCUAAAACCUAUUACAAACUUCAAAGCACUCAAGCUAUUUUCUUCAUCAAACACACAUCAAGCCUUGGUAGGGAAGAAGCUUCCUCCAGCUUCAACAGACCCGUGAUCGUAUGGCUGAGGGACGAAGACAUGAUCUUGAUCGGGUUCCCCUUUAGGGUGUAUCGCUUAGAAUAGAAUUAUAUGAGUAGAGAGACAAAGAGAUGAGAGGCUCGAAAUCCCUUUAGGGAAUGAGUUUCGGCCGUGUGAUGUUAGAAUAUGAGGAUGUCUCUUUAGUUGUCUGGUAAUCUCUAUUUAUAAUACACCUAAGGGGAAACCCUAAUUAUUUAUGGUAAGAGUAAUUACAUCCAUCAAGUAAUUACCAAUAAUAUAAUAGGAUAAAUAUGGUAAUUGAUCAAUUAAUAAGAUAAAUAAUCGUGAGGUACCGCAUAAUAUUCUUACAUGCACUCCUACCCACACUCCAUAAAUGCAUUAGUUUUAGUUUUCUCUAAUUCUGUAGGGCGGGCAUGACCUGCUCUACUUCGCUAUCAUAAUCACCGAUCUCUUUUUCUCGCCCUAAUCGUCGGUCAUUCUUCUUCUUUUUUCCUUCUUUUCUUUCUUAUAUUUUAUCUCAUGGCUACCGCACAACAAGAAUCCAAAAAAGAAAUCAAGAUUGAUCAAUUAAAUCCAGCAAGUGUCUAUUACCUACACCCAGGUGAGAACCCAACCAUGGUUCUUGUCACGCUGCAUCUUGAUGGCUCCAACUAUCACUCUUGAAGUAGAGCGAUGAAGCAUGCGUUAGUCUCCAAAAAUAAAUUUAAAUUCGUUAUUGGGAAGAUACCUGAACCAUUGAGAAAUGAAAGUCAGUAUGAAGCGUGGGAAAGGUGCAACGUUAUGGUGAUCUCACGGAUCACAUGUAGUCUCUCAACAGAAAUAGUGCACAGUACAACAUACAUUGAUAAUGCUACAUAACUUUAGGAAGAUCUUAAGGAGAGAUUUUCUAAAAGCAAUCAUCUUCGUGUCUCAGAACUUCUACAAGAAAUCAACUCCAUUAAAUAAGGUGAAAGAAAUGUUGCAAAUUACUACAUUGACUCCAAUAUCUUAUUGGAGGAGCUUGAUUCUUUACGACCUUUGUCUGUUUGUGUUUGUGAAGCAAAGUCUAGAUGCGACCUGAUCAAGAUCAUGGGAAACCACUGAGAUUCUGAUGCGUCAUAUGCUUCUUAAAGUGUCUUGCAAAAACGUAUAACACUGUUAAGACAAAAAUCUUGUUGACUGAACGUUGUUGGGUGUUAAUCGCGUCUUCUCUUUGGUCCUUCAGUAAGAAAGACACCUCAGUGAGAAUAUAAGAGUAGAUGCAAAGGUGCUAUCAACAAUGCGAACCAACAAAAAUUUAGCAAUAAACCUAAUGGUGUCAACUAUGGAUGGAGAAGUUAUGGAAGAGGGAGGGAGAAGUAAUUUUUUUGGAAAACAAUGUUCUUACUGCAACAAGAUGAACCAUACCAUUGAUGAAUGUUAUACAAAUAUGGCUUUUCACCAUGGACGAAACAAAAAAAAAGAGUAUACUACAAAUGCUUUUGAGAAAGAAGAGGAAAACGAAAUCAAGAAGAACAAAGUUGUGCACGAUGAGACUCUGAGUGAGCAGAUUAUUAGAACUUUUGGAUCAGAUAAACUACAACAACUUAUAGCUAUGAUGCAAGUCUCCAAUAAUAGAAAAAACUUAAUCAAUAACACUAUGUUAGAUGGCUCAAGAACUAGUAGCAAUGCAGGUAAAGAAGGUAAUGACCACUAGAUACUUGAUACGGGUGCCACUAAUCACGUGACUUGUUUUAUUUCAUCUUUUAUAAAUUUCUAUAAAAUAAACCAUGUGAAAGUUAAACUUCCAAAUAGAUGCACUAUUAUUGCCUCUUAUGUUGGAAUCGUAGUUCUGUAAAAAAAUAUAACUUUGCAUAAUGUUUUGUUUAUACCUGAUUUUACUUUGAAUAUUAUAUUUGUACAAGGACUAACUACAUUCUUGAAGUGCCAACUUAACUCAUAAUAUUUUCCAGAUACAGGAGAAGCAUUCCUUGAAGAUAAUUGGUCAAGCUAGACUCUACUAUGCGCUGGGAAGGAAGGUAACAUGGUUUGCUCUCUAUAUGACAAUAUUGUUUUUUAACCUGUGGAGAAUCGUGAUAUUUGACAUUGUAGUAUGGGUCACCCUUAAAAAAAAAUUUUGGAAAUUUUGAACAAAAAAUAUUGCAAUAUACAUUUUGAUAGUAUGAAUGUUUAUGCUCAUGCCAUUUAGCUAAACAACAAAAAGCUUCCUUUUUUGCUUAGCAAGUCCAGUAGUGAACAUGUUUUUGAUCUCAUACAUAUAGAUAUCUAGAGUCCUUUUAAUUUAAUUUCUAUACAUGGGCACAAGUACCUUUUGACUGUGGUUGAUGAUUGUAAUAGAUACAUUUAAUGAAAAAUAAAAGUGAUGUUAGAGAUUUUUUGCAAAAAAAAUUCAUUCUUGUUAAGAACCAAUUUAACAAAUGCAUAAAGGUAAACUGAUAAUGGAAAAGAAUUCUAUUGGCAAGAGUUCUAUGAUUCACAUGGUAUAAUGCAUCAAACAUUUUGCAAUGAAACUCCCCAACAAAAUUUCAUGAUUGAGGGUAAACACCAACACAUCCUUAAUGUUGCUCGUUAUCUUAUUUUUCAAGCUAAAGUUCCCAAAGUUUUUUGGUCUUACGCUAUCAUGCAUUAUGUGCAUCUGAUUAAUCAUUUGCCUUCCCCUAUCAUCCAUAAUAAUUGCCCAUAUGAAUUGUUGCAUAACCGCAUACCUGCUACUUCUUAUAUGAAUGUUUUUGGAUGUCUUUGCUUUGCUUCCACUCUUGAACGGAACAAACAUAAGCUCGAUCCAAGAGCUCGAAAAUGUAUUUUUCUAGGCUACAAACAAGGAACCAAAGGCUAUGUGGUCUUGGACAUUCGUACUAGGGAGAUUUUUGUAUAAAAAAAUGUAGUGUUUUAUGAAACGUUCUUCUGCAAUUUGGAGGGGAAGGAUGAUCAGAUAACCGCACAAGAAGAUAAUGAAUGCAUGGAUCAUUUUGAGGAUGUUCCAGUACAAAAAGAGAUUGAAGAACAUGACGAAACAGAAAAACCAAGUUGGUCCACUAGAGUCAAAAGAACACCAACUUUUUUACAAGACUACCAUCAUCAAAUCAUGGCGACUCCAACUGAUGAAAGUCUUGAAGAUAAUAAAGAGGUACGAUUGAUAACUGUCGUUUUGUUGUCAAAUUAAUAUGAUUCUAGCGUACACUUCUCUAACACUAGAGAGAUGAUAGUAUAAUUGUGGCCAGAUGACCCCAAGUCGUCUCCCAACGAAUCCAAUAGUGAUUCAGUUAAUCAGGGUUUAGAAUUUAUCUGCAAACAAUAAAAGUUAGCAAUAACAAUAAAGAUAAAAAGGGGGUUUGAGAUAGUUGUGCAGAAAAUAUAAAAGAGGUUAAAAUAGCAAAUAAAAAGCAGGUGAUCCCAAGUUCUUCCACCAUUGAAUUCUUCACAGGUUCUCUAAAGAUUAAUCUUUUCUCAAUCCUCCAACAGAGCUAAACCAGAUUGAACAUGCGCCGAUUUGAUUCAACUGAAACUCACCAGUAAAACAUGCGUCUACUGGUUUAAUCAAUACCCACUUUGUUCCAUGCGUAUACUCCAUGGGAAUGUUUACCUCCUCUCCCUUGAAUCAUGUGCCCAAGAAAUUAAUUAGAACAAUGCGAACUAACUAAGAAACCAAAGUUUAAGAUAAGGAAGACUCUCAAUCAUGCGUUCAAGUACAACCUCUCACAAAAACCAGUUUUCCAGGAGAUUAGACAAUAAAAACAACUGCUAUAGAGAAUUAAAAAUCGAAACUUGUAUUGAACAAAACCUCAGAACUCAAUGGGAAAUUACAAAGGAACCAACAAAAAAGGUUUAGCCUUCCAUGCGGAGGUAAAACAAAAGAAUUACUAAAAAGAAAAUAAACUAAGAAAACCUUAUGAAGCUCUCUCUCUUCUCCUUGAUGCUUGUGUCCUUUUAUAGGCUUUUCUGCUCCAAGGAUCUUGAGAGAAUAUUGUAGUUUAUAUUUUGUUAACCGUUUCCAAGUUUCCAUCCUUUCAGAAUUCUUGUAUUUUGUAGAAGAUUUGAUUCCAAUUCUGUUUUUGAGAUAUUGUAGAUUUUAUUUUCUCUUUCUUCUCCUCAGAAUUUGUUUCCUGUUUUGGUUCAAGAAGCAACUUGGACUUUUGCAUAUUUGGCCCAUUCACAAAGGUAGAUGCUUCCUCUGGAUAAUUUACUCUAAAAACACAAAAUUAGCAAUAAUAAUAGUUAAGGCCCAAAUAAACCCAAUUAUAAGAAUAUUAAUUAAAACAAUGGAUUUAUUUAUUAUUAUAGUCCAAUAAUCUAUGAAUAAGACUAGUGAGUGUGAAUAAAUAUAUGCUCAUUGAUCCUCCCGGUUGACCAGAACGCAAGAUCCUCGCCUCGGCAAAGGUAUUCUUCCUCUGGAUCGGCUUUGCACCACGCUAGCUUCCGUCCUUCGCACCUCGAUUCACCUCAAGAACCUGCAAAAGACAGAGUGGCGCCGCUGCGGCCGAUCGCGCUCCGACGCUCAACAGAACCACCAAAACUCUAAGAGAGAAAACUAAGAACUCAAGGAACCGUGCAAAAAAUCUCUCUGUCACUCAAGUAUUCUCCAGGCGUAAAGAAGUGUUCUAAACGUGCGUACCUCAGAAGUUCGUUAGAAUCUCUUAUAUACCUGUGCACUUUCUCUCUCCUGACGGUUACACAUCUGAACACGUGGCUCGCAUCCAACUGUACACGUGUCACCAUCAGGAGCGUCCUCUGCUUGAGCGUCACUUCUUACUCUUCAGGCUGUUCGACUAAGUUACCCGUGCAAGGAGUAACUCGGUGUAUAACUGCCUUGGAGCGCGAUCUCUUCUGUAUGGCGAGUAUGGGGUGUCACCAUGCACACCUUCCCUGUGGUCUCGCCGGCCGCCAUCAUGAUCUGCUUCACUUGCUUCACCGUGCAUGUCCUGGUAAGCUGUUCCCUGGCCUCAACCUCUAGCUAGCUAGGGAAUGAUCAUCUGAUAACUUCAUCCUUCGCACUCGUGCCCUUUGAAAGCCUUGAACAAGCUUUCCUGAUCUUUCGGCGAUGUCCUCCUCUCGGCGAUCUCUGAUCACUUGGUCGCCUGGGUUCGCAUCCGGCAACUACGACACAAACCUGGUGACCGCCGGUUUAGAUAUGCUAGAGAUCGGAGCACGCCAACUUAACGAUUGGCGACUACACGAGCUCCCCGACUUCCUUCCCUUCUGUCAGCUAGGUGUUCCGUUCAACACGCCUAUAUUAUCGCUUGCUGCCACGUCAUCACUUCCGACUACUUGGGCGGUACACAAGCCCCCCAGUCUUAAGCGAAGACUUGUCCAGCGAAAAGACUAAGAGGUCACAUCAUUGUCGAUCUACGUGGCGUUGGCACGGAAUUCCAAACGUUCGUACCCUCUGCUUUUCUGACGCUCCACCAAACCCCUUUUUCCAAUUGCUCGACAUGUGGCUUCAUCAACGGUCAUCUUCAGCUGUCGUUUGUGCUUCCGAAAACGUUUCGAAAAACCCCUAAAACCCUCUGCACUUCCUACUGUUCCAUCAUCUUUCUGCAUUCUCAAAAGUUCUAAGUAUUUUCUCUACAUCCCACGACGCUCCUCAACUCUCUCAAUCUCCAACUCUCUUCAACGCUCAACCGAUCAUCAAAAGGUACCCCUUUUACUUCUUCUGUUGAUGUUUGCUGCAUUUUAACCGAUUCGCAUCAUCCAUUAUCUGUCUGGUGCAUACGUUGUGGGUUGUUUUCUCCUUUUCUCCCCUCUCGCAUCUUCCAUUACGUUCGUCCCAACGAACUCCUGUUCGUUCGUUCUCCUUUCUUCGUCCUCAAUCGAGUCGUUCUCUGUAACCUUUGUUCAUCCCUUUCAUUUUCCUUUGCAGUUUUUGCGAUGGCUCAUACAAAAUCCACCGCGAACCCUCCUUCUUCGUCGCGAAACCCUCCACCCCAACCGCGUAGAGUUGCUCUUGGGGCAAAUCCUCCACCAGCGCGUAACCCACCACGAGCAUCUGACGCUCCUUCUUCCCAGGCUGAGAGGCCUGCAACUUCUCAUGCCAACCCCGCUCAGGCAACUCCACCAGUCACCGGAGGAGCCUCUAUUCCUACACAAGACUAUAAGAAGCUCUACCCGUGGGCUACCUCAGCUUUGUUGAAAGAAACUUCUUCAAUAAACACGGAGUUGGGCGUGCACCGACUAAGGAAAGGGGACCAAUCCGAGCUCACAUUCCAUAAGGAGCACGACAACAAAAUGGUUGUGCUGCCCUGCUUCCCGGGUGAAUCGAUCUGCGCGGACGAUAAAGCGAACAACGACGAGCUGUUUUGCUUCAUCUACGCGACGUUCUUCAAGAAGGUGAAGCUCAGACUUCCCUUCACUCGCUUCGAGAGAGAGCAUUUAACCGAUCUCGAUAUCGCCCCCGCCCAGCUUCAUCCCAACAGCUGGGCGUUCGUAAGGGCGUUCCAAAUUAUGUGCGCACAUUUGGGACUACCAGCUUCAGUUGACGUUUUCCUCUUCCUGUACGAAGCUAAGAAUCCAUGAGAUCGCCUCUGGAUUAGCCUGAAUGGGAUUUCCGGGAGGUCAAUCCUCUCAAUCUUCCAGCAAUCUUACAAAGAUUGGAAAGGGAAAUUCGUGAAGGUGUGCGCCAACGACUAAGAUCCCUCCCUGCUCGACGGCUUCCCCUUGUACUGGGUACACAGGGGGAACAAAGACGCCAAAGAAAGCUUUAGAAGGCCCAAAAGUCCCGACACCAUGGGUGAGCUAGACAAAGAUCUCUGCCUUUUCUGGAAGAGUGUAGCAGCCGCCAACAUCACCUUCCCCACCUCCUCAAUAAUCUCCUUCGAGUUCCUCGAGGACCAACUUGAAGCUCAUAUAGGUUAGCCUUUACCUCGACACCUAGGUUUUCGUUUUGUGUUGGGACUGACUUCGCAUUUCUAUCAUCUAUCAUUGGGCGUCCUGUUUGUUGCGUACUGGUCUUGGUUUUUAAUUCAUGUGCCACUUGUUUACGUCAUUCGUGCAUAUACUCGUAUAUUUUGCCUUUGCUUUUGUGCUUACUCAUCUAUUUUUUACCCUGUGCAGACCUCAUGUUGGGCAAAGGCAAACUAGCUGAAUUGAGGGUGAUCGUCCGAACCCACAAGUUGGCGACGGGUUCCCAAACCGUGCCCAACUCGGUGAUGGAGAUCGCCGCUGCUCAGGGCAGAUCUCCUCCCCAAGGUCCAAUUCCUCCGGAGACACUGCCCGCCCCCCAGUGAAAAAAGCUUGUCUUGAGGAAGCCAAAGAGGAAAACUCCUCAAGUGGUACAAGAGGAUGAGGAUGACGAGGCGGCUGAGGAUGGCCUCGUCACCAAAAGAACAACGGUGGCACCCUCUUCACCACCCGCUCUCCCAACACCAACACCGCCCUCUCCUCCAGCUCCAACACCGCCAGUCCAAGCAACACCCUUGGCGGUCGCGCUCCCUAUGGUUGAAGGCAGCGAGCCUAAUUUCAUAGAGAACCCUCCAAGCGCUUCCACACCGUUCGUAUCUGCUGGAGAGGGUCCUCCUUCAACCACCUCUAUUGCUGGGGCCGCACCAGGUGGAGAUGAAGGUGCCCACAACUCGCCAAUACUCAUAACCGAAUCUCCCCCUUCACCACCACGCCAAGAAGCCCCCCUUGCUCUACAAACUCAAGAGGGUGGUGGUGAAAGUCAGCACCAGGCUCCUCCAGCACCUCCACCAGCAACAACUGCAAGCCUUCCCCCUUCCAUCGAAGAGAUCUGGGGGCCCUUCACAGCCAAACUGAAAAUGAUGGCAGAGGAUCUCCCCUCAAUCAUAAAGAAGGCUGUGAAGAACUCGAGCAAGAAGCUUCGAGAUGAGAACUCAGCGCUCCAAGAGGAGAACCGCCUGAUAAGGAUUGAGGCAGAAAAACUGUCUUGCAAUCUGAUGAUGGCAGAAAUCGACCACUCAAGGCUGGAGGAUGCCAUGAGCGCUGAGCUAAGGGGCGCACGCAAGGAGGCCUCCGAUCUGCGCCAGAAACUGCACCUCCUAGCUCAAGAGAAAAUUGAGCUGGAGAGUAAGCUGGUACCUUACAGGCUCAAGGUGGCCAACUUGGAGGCAUCAAUAAAAGCAGAUGCGGCCAAGGUGGAGAACCUUCAAAAAAGGUCAGCUGAUCUGGAGGUCCUCCUCCUCGGGAAGGUCGAGAAGGAGAGGGACGACGCCAUAGCUGAGCUCGCCAAAGCUCAAGAGGAAAACAAGAAAACUGCUGCAGAGCUGGCCCAGGCGCGGGACGAAGGCAAAAAGGUUGCUGAAGACCUUGCUCAAGCUCGCGGGGAAACUGAAGAGCUAAAGAAACGAGCUGACGAGCUGAAGCAACAAACCGAAGAGCUCGAGCAAAGCUCCGCCCAAGUCCUUGCCGCCGGGUUCGACGUCGCCCUGGAGCAAGUCGCUUGCCAAUACCCCGAGCUUGAUCUGACCAUGGUGUCCAUCUGCAACGAAGUGGUGGAUGGGAAGAUCGUGCCCUCUGAAGAUUAGUUGUCUCCCUCCAUCACUUUGCUCUUUGAAAACUUGUUGCUUAUUUCUGUUUGUACGAGCUUUACUUGUACUUUUUCUCCUUAUGUAUUUGAACACUGCUUUUAUAUAACUUCUUCUGCUUUUUGCACCUCGUCUUUCUGUUUACUUCGCGUUCUUUAACCUUCAUCUGCUUUCUUACUCGUGCUUUGAACUUGAGCAAACCAUUAAUCUCAUAACAAUUUAUCGAACUGUUAACUCGAAGUAAAACUUGAGCGACUCAUUAACCUUCAAGCGAUGACACUUAACGCAACUUGCAAACUUAAGGCAAUUAGUUACUUACUAAGCAGCAGGUUUUAACUUAAACUGGUAUCACAAUACAGUUUACCUGAUCUGCCCGGCAAGGUUAGCCUUUACUCUUGUCAUCGCCUGGAAUUCUUCUGAUCGCCAUAGGGUUCUGGCGAUAUAGGCUUUCUUUGCCUUCAUAUCUUGGCUAUUGUUCCCUCAUCUGGGGGUAGAGGCGCCUUUCGGAUCCUUCUCUACCUCCCUGAGUUUCAGAACAAUAAGCCGGAUAACGAGGUGUUCUCUCUGAACCUACCUUAGCUAUCCUUUAACUUCUUUCACCCUUCACGCCAUACCUGAACUCGUUCAAGACGAUAAGGAUUUUAUUUGCCUUCACACCGCCUACAAGCGUGGAAGUCAAUAUUGAUGUUUCACUUAAGGGGGGAAAGGCGUUUUCCUUCCUUCCCCGCCGUUUAAGGUCACGAACACCCCUGACUUUUCAGUUCAUCUUGCCUGAACUCACUCUGAAGUGAGAAGGACUUUUUCUCGCCUGAACUCGCUCGACGGCGAGAAGGACUUUAUCUGGCCUGAACUCGCUCGAAGGCGAGAAGGACUUUAUCUGGUGCCUCAACUUGCCCAGGGUGUACAUCUCCUCCCCCUUGGAUGCACUGAGGACUUUUUCUCUUUUCUCGCCUGCACUUGCUCGAGGGCGAGGAGGUCUUUUCUUUUCUCGCCUGCACUCGCUCGAGAGCGCUGAGGUCUUUAGUCGACGCUGGUGCCUCCGAUCGCCGAAAGACGAUGAGGACUUUAAUACUUUAACUGAUGCCGCCAGUCGCCGAAAGACGAUGGGGACUUUAAAACUUUAACUGAUGCCGCCAGUCGCCGAAAGACGAUGGUGACUUUAAAACUUUUACUUAGAAAGCAUGCAGCAUAACUGUAAACUUGCCAUGAAUCACGUACGAGUGAUAAGGUCUUUUUCUAAAACUUUCGAAACAACCAGCAUGCAAUCUUAGAAACUUUAAACUCUUUGAAAACUCUUCUUUAUUGGGUGACCUCAUUAAAAACCCUCCUUAGGGAAAAAAGAGUGGCCCCUUCAAAUUGUUUUAACAGAAAACUUGCAAAUCUCUUCAUGUUCGUUUUUACUUACAAAGCUUUAACUGUAAUAUAACUUGAGGUGUGUGGCGUUCCAAGUGCGAGGAAUCACCCCUCCUACCAAUGUCUCUAAGCGGUAGGCGCCGUUCCCGAGCGCCUCAGUUAUUCUGAACGGUCCUGUCCACUUAGGCGAUAACUUGUUUUCCAUCUCGUACUGGUGGGCCUUCCUCAUCACCAGGUCACCCUCUCUAAACUGCCUUGGAAUCACCUUCGAGUUAUACCUUCGUUCAAUCCUCCUUUUUACUGCCUCAGCCUUUACCCUUGCCUCCUCCCUGACCUCAUCCAGUAAAUCCAGAUUCAACCUUCUUUCUUCGUUCGAGUCUUCCGUCACAAAGUUCUGGAAUCUCGGCAAGCUCUCAUGGAUUUCAACUGGAACCAUUGCAUCACAUCCAUAGACCAAACUGAACGGGGUCUCGUGGGUUCCUGACUGCUCGGUGGUGUGGUACGCCCAAACUAUGUGGGGUACCUCCUCAGCCCACGAUACCUUAGCUUUCUCUAGCCUUCUCUUCAAGCCUCUUAGCAACACCCGAUUGGCGGACUCUACUUGGCCAUUUGUCUAGGGGUGCUCAACGGAUGCAAACACCUGCUGAAUUCCCACCUCUUUGCACAGCUUCUUCAGUAGGUGACUUGCAAACUGAGUCCCAUUGUCUGACACCAGGCGCUUAGGCACACCAAACUGGCACACGAUGUUCUUGCAUACAAAACUCUCGAUCUUGUGUGCGGUGAUCUGGGUUACUGGUUCUGCUUCGAUCCACUUGGUGAAGUAUUCAAUCGCCACCACCAAGUACUUCAUCUGCCUGAUCGCCAAUGGGAAAGGUCCCAGAAUGUCAAUUCCCCACGUAUGAAACGACCAAGGGCUGUAAAUCGACUUUAACUCUUCUGGAGGCGCUUUGUGCCAAUCGGCGUGCUGUUGACAUUGCUUGCAACACUGUGCAUACUUCUUGCAGUCCUCCCUCAUUGUUGGCCAGUAGUAACCUGCACGGAGAGUUCUUGCAGCCAGAGCUCGACCCCCGACGUGACUUCCACAUAUCCCUUCAUGGAGCUCGGCCAUGAUUCUUAUACAUUUUUCUCCGUGCACACAUUCCAGGAGUGGGUGUGUGAAUCCAAAUCUGUACAACUCGCCAUCAAUCAUUGUGAACUUGCUGGAGUUCUUCUUUAUCUUCCUAGCCUCUGUCGGAUCCAGUGGGAGAAGGCCAUCUGCCAGGCAACGCUGGUACUGGGUUAUCCACGUGUCUGGCUCAUGCGUGGCACAGACUUGCGUCAUGUUCACCCUCUCCCCCCGACAUGCUCUUAUUCGCGGCGACCUCAAGGUCUCCUGAGUCAAGGAUCUGUGACUCCUCGCCGUUUUCUCCGUCGACUUGCUUAUCUGAAGAACCAGGUGGUCUGCCACAAAUGCUCUAGGCGUCUUCAGAGUUUCUUGGAUCACUGUUCUCUGCCUACCCCCCUUGCCCGAACUGGCGAGCUUAGCUAGCAAGUCUGCUCGGGCAUUCUGCUCUCUGGGCACAUGCACCACUUCAAACGAGACAAAGGAACUCUUCAACUCCUGCACAUACUCCAAGUAAGCCGCCAUUUGUGGAUCUUUGGCCUGGAACUCGCCUGUUACUUGUCCCGUGACUAAUAACGAGUCACUCUUAGCCAUCAACACCCUAGCUCCCAUCUCCUUGGCCAGCAAGAUUCCGGCGAUCAGCGCCUCAUACCCUGCUUGAUUGUUGCUGGCUUUGAAGGCAAACCUCAGGGACUGUUCUAUCAGCACGCCAUUGGGCCCUUCUAGAAUGACUCCAGCACCGCUACCCUGCUGGUUUGACGAUCUGUCCACCGAGAGCACCCAACGAAAAUCAUCCCCUUCAACUCGUGCUGCUUCUGACGAGAGCUCGACCACAAAAUCGGCGAAAAUCUGCCCCUUGAUCGGACCUCGGGGCUCAUACUUGAUGUCGAACUCUGACAGCUCCACCGCCCACUUCACCAUUCUCCCAGCUACAUCAGGCUUCUUCAGGACUUUCUGGAUGGGCAAGUCGGUCAUCACCAGCACUGUAAAACUGUGAAAAUAGUGGCGCAACCUCCUCGCCGAAAAUACUAUAGCCAGUGCAGCUUUCUCCAAGGCCUGAUACCUCACCUCCGGGCCUUGCAACACCUUGCUGACGAAAUAAAUAGGCUUCUGAGCCUGGUCUUGAUCUUGGGCGAGCACCGCGCUCACCGCUCUCUCAGUCACAGCAAAAUACAACCUGAGAUGGGUUCCUACUAAGGGUUUACACAAAACCGGCGGGCUCGCCAAGUACUCUUUAAGCUUCACGAAGGCUUCUUCACACUCCUUCGACCAGACAAACUUGUUGUUUCGCCUCAAACAUUGGAAAUACGGAUGGCAUUUCUCUCCGCUAGCAGAUACAAAACGAGAUAGGGCGGCCAUCCGACCUGUAAGUUGCUGCACCUCCUUCACGGUAGCCGGGCUCCUCAUUGCCAAUAUGGCNNNNNNNNNNNNNNNNNNNNNNNNNNNNNNNNNNNNNNNNNNNNNNNNNNNNNNNNNNNNNNNNNNNNNNNNNNNNNNNNNNNNNNNNNNNNNNNNNNNNCCUCUUUCAGUUAAGAGGAAUCCCAAGAACUUCCCCGCCUCCACGCCAAAAAUGCACUUCUCGGGGUUCAGCUUUAAUCUGAACUUGGCGAUUCUGGUGAACAAUUCCUCCAGAUCCGCAACGUGCUUGCUCUUUUCUGGCGAGGUCACGACCAUAUCAUCCACGUACGCUUGCACAUUCCUUCCCAGCAUUGGUGCAAGUACCUUAUCCAUCAAUCUUUGGUAUGUGGCCCCCGCAUUCUUCAGCCCAAAGGGCAUCACCUUGUAACAGUAGCACGACCUCUCAGUCAUGAAGGCAGUUUUCUCUUCAUCCAUAGGAUGCAUCUUUAUCUUAUUAUACCCCGAGAAGGCGUCUAGAAAGCUCAGCAACUUGCACCCUGCUGCACUGUUGACCAGGGCAUCUAUGCUUGGCAAAGGGUACAAAUCCUUUGGGCAAGCCUUGUUCAGGUCAGUGAAGUCGACGCACAUGCGCCACUUCCCAUUGCUCUUCUUCACCAGCACGACAUUAGCCAACCACUCAGGGUACCGGACCUCCCUGAUAUGGCCUGCGGCGAGGAGCUUCUGGGUUUCGUCCCUGAUCGCCUGCCUCCUCUCAUCGUUAAACUUCCUUCUUCUCUGCCGCACUGGUCUGACUUGUGUGUCCAUUGCCAAAUGGUGACACAAGAAAUCGGGGUCAAUUCCCGGCAUGUCUGAAGCAGACCAUGCAAAAGCAUCCAGAUGUCGUUUUAUCACCCUGGCGAUCUGGUCUUGGAGUUCAGCCUCCAAAGAUCUUCCUAGCUUGAAGACCUUUCCCCCGAUCUCCCUUUCGAGCCACUCCUCGACGGGUUUGGGUCUGGCUUUCCUAGCGAUCACCGCCCUGGCGAUUCCUAAUUCCCUCGCUUCCUCUGGGUGGUUCCUCGCUUCUUCUUCCCGUCCGGCGCUCUCCCCCUCGACCUCAGCAUCCACCAUGGUGACGUCGCCUCCGGCGGCCACCUCCAUCGCCGCAUCAAAAACUCGCCAUUCUGUUGGCUUGGGCUUCACACCAGGAGGCAGCGUCGUGGUGAUGUAACUUACUGACCUCCUAUUCUUAAGGCUAUUCUCAUAGCAUUUUUUCGCCUCCUUCUGGUCAGAUCUGAUGGUGAUCACCACCCCCUCCAUCGAUGGUAACUUAACCUUCAUGUGCCUAGUUGAGGGCACAACGCCUAUUCUGUUGAGGGUUGGUCUCCCCAACAGAAUGUUAUAUGCUGAGGGGGCAUUCAUAACAAGGUAUUUGAUUUUCUCCGUCCUCGAGGCCACCUCAUUCGUGAACGUCGUUCUUAGCUCAAUAAACCCCCUGACCUCCACCUGAUCGCCAGCGAACCCAUACAAGCACCCUCCAUAGGGUCUUAGCUGGUCAAGGGGUAGUUGCAACUGUGUGAAAGUCGGCCAGAACAUUACAUCCGCCGAGCUUCCUUGGUCCACUAGUACCCAGUGGACCUUCCUUCCCGCUGUGACGAGCGAGAUAACUAUGGGAUCGUUGUCGUGAGGCACAACGUCCCUGAUAUCUUCCUUUGUGAACGUGAUUUCCACAUCCGGCGAGUGGUCCUCGAACAUGUCCACCGACAUCACAGACCUUGCAUAUUUCUUCCUCUGUGAUGCAGUGCAUCCACCACCCGAGAAACCUCCAGCGAUGGUGUGGAUCUCACCAUGGGUUUGCAUCUCAUGUUGCUGACCCUCACCAUUCGCCGGCUGGGAGCUCGACGCGCCCCCCGUCCUCCUGUCUAGCAGGUAAUCAUUCUAGAAACCACUCUCGACCAGGUCGUCGAGCUGGUAUCCCAGGGCCAAACACGAAUCAACGGUGUGACCAAAACUCUGGUGGAACUCGCACCAGGCGUCUGGUUUUGGUCCUAACACCUUGUCGCCCACUUUCUCAGGUGCCUUAAGCCUGGCUGCUAUGUUGGGAAUGGCGAUCAGAUCCGCCAACCCCAUGACAAACUUGUGCUUUGGUGAUCGAUUGUACUCCCUGGGGCGUCCUGGCCCCUUCCCUUAUUCCUCCUGGGAUCAUAAGGAUGGCGAGUCCUCUGAUCCUUCUUGGCCGCCAUUGUCUCCAGCACCCUUUGCGGCUGGAUUCUAGUCUGGGCACAAACCAUUCCAGCGCUGUUCCCUGGAGCGUGCUCACAAACAUCUUGCAAUAUACAACAUCCGAGCCUCCUGACAGCAUCAUCUGCGUGUGGAACGUGGUGAGAUGUGCCUCAGGGUCCUCCACGCCGGUGAAAGAAGCUUUCACAGGUACUACGCUCGUAGGGAAAGGCGUGUCUGUGAUCGCCUGAGCAAACGGCAUAGGGAAAACGCGCGGUGGCGACGAUGGCGCGACCUCUUCAACGACUGGGCGUUCUCUCUGCUCUUGAAGAGCUUGACGCAACUCCUCAGUCACUUUGCUGAGCUCUUCAUUCCUGGCUUGAGAGGCGACCAGGUCCUCAUGCAUCUUCGCUUGCUCUAUGCGCGAGGCCUCCACAUUCGCCUGCAGCGCACGCAUGAUCUCCAUCAUCUGCGUCAUGGUCAUGGCGCCUUCUGUAGCAACUGGCACAACGGGACUUGAACGGUUGCUUCUCAUCUUUCUCAUGAAAACUCAGCGAACCAAACUCCAGCGAGCGAAACCUUUUCCAGUAAACAAUUGAUCCAGCAAUCAAUCGGUCAGAAACUCCCAAACUCCUAAAAACACAGCCACAACAGCACGCAGAUAGAUUCGGACGUCAAAACCUUCUCAGAAACUUGCACUUUCACCAUGAAACUACUGCUCCUCCAGCAAGCUCCCGAUUCACCGAAUAGAAACGCGAACGAACGGUGAAACUUCGAACCAACCGAUUGGAAACCGCGCAAACAGCAAGAAACUUCGGAAAAACCGAUCGAAAGCUCGAACGAACGGUGGAAAACUUCAAACGGCCGAUUAAAACCCAAACAAACGGCGGAAAACUCGAAUUCACCGAACAAAGCUCGAACGAACGGUGGAAAACUUGAAAUCACCGAACAAAAGCUUGAAUGAACGGUGGAAAAUGGUUGCACCAGCACACAACCACACAGAAACUACAGAAGCUUCAAGAACUCACGCUGUGGAUGGGGACAGGUUUUACACGGCCCCACGGUGGGCGCCUGAUGAUCCUGCCGGUUGACCAGAACGCAAGAGCCUCCACUCGUCAAAGGUAUUCUUCCUCUGGAUCGGCUUUGCACCACGCUAGCUUCCGUCCUUCGCACCUCGAUUCACCUCAAGAACCUGCAAAAGACAGAGUGGCGCCGCUGCGGCCGAUCGCGCUCCGACGCUCAAGUUAGUGACGGAACCACCAAAACUCUAAGAGAGAAAACUAAGAACUCAAGGAACCGUGCAAAAACUCUCUCUGUCACUCAAGUAUUCUCCAGGCGUAAAGAAGUGUUCUAAACGCGCGUACCUCAAAAGUUCGUUAGAAUCUCUUAUAUACAUGUGCACUUUCUCUCUCCUGACGGUUACACAUCUGAACACGUGGCUCGCAUCCAGUUGUACACGUGUCACCAUCAGGAGCGUCCUCUGCUUGAGCGUCACUUCUUACUCUUCAAGAUGUUCGACUAAGUUACCCGUGCAAGGAGUAACUCAAUGUAUAGCUAUCUUGGAGCGCGUUCUCUUCUGUAUGGCGAGUACGGGGUGUCACCAUGCACACCUUCCCUGUGGUCUCGCCGGCCGCCAUCAUGAUCUGCUUCACUUGCUUCACCGUGCAUGUCCUGGUAAGCUGUUCCCUGGCCUCAACCUCUGGCUAGCUAGGGAAUGAUCAUCUGAUAACUUCAUCCUUCGCACUCGUGCCCUUUGAAAGCCUUGAACAAGCUUUCCUGAUCUUUCGGCGAUGUCCUCCUCUCGGCGAUCUCUGAUCACUUGGUCGCCUGGGUUCGCAUCCGGCGACUACGACACAAACCUGGUGACCGCCGGUUUAGAUAUGCUAGAGAUCGGAGCACGCCAACUUAACGAUUGGCGACUACACGAGCUCCUCGACUUCCUUCCCUUCUGUCAGCCAGGUGUUCCGUUCAACAUGCCUAUAUUAUCGUUUGCUGUCACGUCAUCACUUCUGACUACCUGGGCGGUACACUAAGAAUUACUAAGAAGAAAAUAAACUAAGAAAACCCUAUGAAGCUCUCUCUCUUCUCCUUGAUGCUUGUGUCCUUUUUUUUUAUAGGCUUUUCUGCUCCAAGGAUCUUGAGAGAAUAUUGUAGUUUAUAUUUUGUUAACCGUUUCCAAGUUUCCAUCUUUCCAGAAUUCUUGUAUUUUGCAGAAGAUUUGCUUCCAAUUAUGUUUUUGAGAUAUUAUAGAUUUUAUUUUCUCUUUCUUCUCCUCAGAAUUUGUUUCCUGUUUUGGUUCAAGAAGCAACUUGGACUUUUGCAUAUUUGGCCCAUUCACAAAGGUAGAUGCUUCCUCUGGAUAAUUUACUCUAAAAACACAAAAUUAGCAAUAAUAAUAGUUAAGGCCCAAAUAAACCCAAUUAUAAGAAUAUUAAUNNNNNNNNNNNNNNNNNNNNNNNNNNNNNNNNNNNNNNNNNNNNNNNNNNNNNNNNNNNNNNNNNNNNNNNNNNNNNNNNNNNNNNNNNNNNNNNNNNNNNNNNNNNNNNNNNNNNNNNNNNNNNNNNNNNNNNNNNNNNNNNNNNUGUCUAUUUCUUCACAAAAUGAACCAAAAAUACUAUGAAGAAGCAAAACUCUUUCCUAAGCGGACGAAGGUUAUGAAGGAAGAAAUAAGAGCACUUGAGACCAACAAGACAUGGGAAGUCACAGACCUACCUCCAAACAAAACUGCUAUUGACUGCAAGUGGGUGUUUAAGAUUAAACGAAGGGCAAAUGGAGAGAUCGAGAGAUACAAAGCGAGGCUUGUGGUAAAGGGGUAUAAUUACAUGGAGACAUAUUCACCCAUGGCAAGGCUCACUACUGUUAGAGUCAUUCUUGUUGUUGGUGUUGUUUUUUAUUGUCACCUAGAACAACUUGAUGUAAACAAUGCAUUCCUGGAUGGAGAUUUAUAAGAAGAAGUAUACAUGGAAUUGCAACCCGGAAUAAACACUGAGAAGCCUCAUCAAGUUUGUCGCUUAACCAAAUCUUUGUAUGGGUUAAAGCAGGCAAGUAAACAAUGGUAUGACAAACUCACUACCUUUUUCUACACCAUUAACUUUACUCAAUCAAAGGUUGAUAACUCUCUUUUCAUUAGAAAAAACAGAAGCAUCUUUUAUAGCCCUUUUUAUAUAUACAUAUAUGAUAUUUUGAUUGCUGGAAAUGACAUAAACAAUAUUAACAAAGUUAAGAGUUCUUUAAACUCAAUUUUCAAAAUAAAAUAUCUUUGUCAAUUGAAGUUUUUCUUAGGCUUAGAAAUUGCUAGGAUAAAAAAUGGUAUCCACAUUUCUCAAAGAAAGUAUGCUCUCGAGAUUUUGUUUGAUGUAGGUAUGUAGAGCACCAAACUUGCUAGCACACCCAUGACCAAUAACAAUGAGAAUCUUUUUAUUCAGAACACACCGGUGCAUGAUAAAACUGCAUAUUGUAGAAUCACUGGAAGACUGUUGUACUUAGUUAACACCAUAUCGGUAUAAGUUUUCAUGUGCAGUUCCUUAGCUAAUUUUUCGAGGCACCUUCGAAACUACACCAUCAAGUGGCUCAGAGAAUCCUCAUAUACAUAAAAAGGUUACCUGCACAAGGUAUGUUUUAUCUAAAAAAUAAUGAUAUUCAAAUCAAAGCCUUUUCAACUCGCCGCUCAACCACCAAAUACUGCAUUUUCCUUUUAGACUCACUGAUUUCAUGGAAAACAAAAAAGCAAAAUAUUGUUUCAAGAUCUUCAUCUGAAGCGGAGUAUAGAACGCUCGUGAAUACAUGUUGUGAGGUCCAAUGACUCACAUACUUGCUUGAAGACCUUAAUACACUCAUCAACAUGACUGCAAGUCUCUUAUGUAACCGUCAAUCAGCACGCCAUAUCGCACUAAACCAUAACUUUCACGAGAGAACUAAGCACCUUGAUAUUGAUUGCCAUGUAGUGAGAGAAAAGCUCCAACAAGGCCUUUUCCACUUGCUUCCUAUCAGCACGAAAAAUCAGUCGGUUGAUCUCCUUACGAAGGCUCUUGACAAGGAAAAAUUUCAUGGUGUUAUCUUCCCCUAGUGUUUUAUGUAUCCACCCACAAGCUUGAAAGAGGUUUAACGUUUGCACCGUUUUAGCUUUUGUUUUUCUCUUAUUUUUCUCAAACCCAUCAGGUUUGUCCAUGUGUAUUUAAUUGGCAUGUAUGAUACACAAUAAUAAACAUUACAAAGUUUUAUUCUUAAAGCAAUUACAUCUUCAUCUCGUUCAACAUUGGAGUCCAUCAUAAUGGAAAAAUCCAUUAUUUCAUCUUUCAUCCUUAAUGUUUGCUAAGUUUCCUUCAAUUAUAUCUACACAAUUGUCUUUUAUCAAAAUAUUUCUCAUUUUCAAUUUCAAUAAAGAUAAAUUAAUCAUGUUAAACUUCUUUAUCUCAUUUUAUUCUCAUUAUUUUACAUCAAAAUGUUUAACAAAACCGAUUAUGCAAUUUUAAUGAAAAAAAGUAUUCACAAAAUUUACAUAAACACGUAGUUUCAUACCACUGCAUUUUAUAUAUAGUAUUAAGAAAACAAAUUAUGUGAAAGAUCAUAUUAAUUGUAAUUACAGAGCACACUCAAAAUUUUGUUUAUAUAUUAUUCUAAUUUUAUUUUUGUUUAUAUAUUAUUCUUAUAUGUAUGAAUAAUAUAAUCAAUGUAGGGACUGUGAUAAUUAAUGACAAAUUGUUAACUUACAAUUAAAAUAAGAGAUAAUAAAUGAAAAAUAAAAUUAAUUAUAAAAAAGAAUACAAUUUUCUAAACGGAAGAAAUUACAACACUCAUAAAUUAAAGGAAAAAGAUGAUAACACCCAAGUUAAUGAAAAAAACAUUUUUGUUAAAAAUAAGAAGACACAACUUUUAAGAAAAUAUUAAAAGAAAAUUUAAUUUUAGUUCUUAAUUUUUCUUUUCUUACUAAAACAAUAGAAAAAGGUGCAUAAACUAAAUUGUGGAAGCAUAGAAGAAAGAGAUAUAAGACUUCCUUAACUUAAAUAAGGAGCCAUUUGGAGGCAAAGGAGAGAGCACUUCCCAUAUGUAACUUUCCCUAACAUCUUAAUUCUUUCUCGUGAAGUUAAUGGUUAAAUCAAUGAAUAAAGGUUAUUGUUAGUAUAAUUUUUAAUGUGAUUAUUAUAAAAUCAUUAAACUUGAAAUAGAUAAUAGUUUGUAAUUGGAUAAUUAUUAUAAAAUCGUUUAAGUUUACUUAAUGCAAUCAGUAAAUAGUUUAUUUCUUUUAUUCCAAUAUAUUAAAUUAAUAUAUAUCUUUUAACAACCGAAAAAAUUAUCUAAUAUAAUCAUUUUGAAAAAUNNNNNNNNNNNNNNNNNNNNNNNNNNNNNNNNNNNNNNNNNNNNNNNNNNNNNNNNNNNNNNNNNNNNNNNNNNNNNNNNNNNNNNNNNNNNNNNNNNNNUUUAAUCUUAUAUGAAAAAUUACAAAUAAAUAACGGUGCAAUUUAAUUGCACCGUUUACACCUUGACUAUUUACUUUAUAACGUUCGGGAAAAAUCCGAAAUCUGGAUUUUAAGUCGAGAAUUUUAGAUUAAGACGUAACAGAAGCACGUCUUACCUUGCUCAGUCGUCGAGAAUAUGGACCCUACUACUUUUUAAUGCAAAUUCUUCCAAAACCUCAGUACCUUCUUUGUGACUUGGUAAUUUUAUAUAAUUUCAAUAAUAUCCUUGUGAAUUAAAUAAAAAGUGUGAUGUGUUUUGCUAAGUAAAAAAUAAUAAUUAUAAAAUUAAAAAAAAAUUAUCGUUGAAGAAAGUUGAAUAUAAUUAAUUUUCUUGUAAAUGCUGUCACACACAUUUAAAUAAAAAAACUAUUUUUAUAAAUACUGCGGUUGAAAAAAGAAAUGUAGUGUUUAAAUUUUUUAAAAAAUUAAAACUGAUUUUUCAAAAAAUAUAGAUAUAAGGAAAAAAUUUGGUUUUUUUUUUUAUAUAAACCAACAACACCAGUAAAUGCCGAUAAAAAAAAAAAAAAAAAAAAAAACAACAACAACAACACCAGUAAAAAAAUGAGUAAAAAACAUGUUUUUUAUGUGCGUUAAGAAACCAAUAUUGUAGCUGGGCGCAUGCUGACUAAAGAAUAUGAUUUUCUUGUUCUCGAAGUAAAAGAUGAAGAGAACUGAGAAUUCAUUCUAUAAAUAUAGUCCUUCAAAGUAUUGAGGUCGUCCACGCUUAUUCUGGUGUGUUUUGUUCUGUUCUCAUUCUGUGAUUGUGCUUUUGCUAAGUAAGAUGGCAGCAUCUGCAGAUAAUACCCACGAUGUUGUGUCCCUCCUCUCUUCACCCCAAAGGGACUUUCUUCUAAGGAACAACGGCGAUCAGGUAACACCUUCCAAACUCUUGUUAAAAAAUUUCCCUUUUCUGAUUGCUCUGGAAAGCACCAGAUAGACUUAAGGGGUCCCUCAAUUUACUGUUUUUUUAACUUUAAUUGUUUCUGCUUUUAUUAUGGUUUGUUUUGGGGAACCCAUUUUUGUCAAGGGAUUAUUCAUGGAUUUCAUAUGAGAUUUUGGUGGUGGCAUGGCUAACGGAUUAUAUAUAUAUAUGAUAUUGACUUGACUGUGCAUAUGUUGUUUCUGUUGAUGUGAAAUGUAAUUAAGAGUGAGAGUGAUAUAUGCUGCUGAAUCAAACGAAAAUGUGAUUUGUGUUAAAUUAAAUUCUGUCUGUUGGGGGAGGGUGUGGGGGCUGAAAGAUGGGUUAAUUUGAUUUGAAAAACGAAGACUGAUUUGUUUGGAAGGGUAGUUGCUCAUUCCAUCCUGAUCAAAGGAAAUAUGAUUAAAUGAAUGGUGAUUCCAUUUGUUUGAAUUUUCUGUCAUUUCAACGAACUAAGUGUGACUGGGUUUACCUGUGGUUGGAUGCAGUGUUUUAUUGUAGAAUGCAGCUCAUGUCAUUUUGAAGUGAUAGCUUUAUUGAAUGAAGAGAAAUCAUGUUUAUUUCGUAUUGACUGAAAAUUGUGGUUUGAUAUGCUCUAUUUUGGAAUUCACAGGUGAAAAUUGAGAGCCUGAAGGGAAAGAAACUUGGUGUUUAUUUUUCGGCAUCCUGGUGUGGUCCGUGUCGAAAAUUCACGCCAACUUUGGUGGAGGCAUACAAUGAGGUUGUGUCAAAAGGUGACUUUGAGGUCGUUUUUGCCUCGGCUGAUGAAGAUGAAGAGUCUUUUAAAGGUUACUUUUCCGAGAUGCCAUGGCUUGCAAUCCCAUUUUCUGAUUCGGAGACACGCAGUCGCCUUGAUGAAUUGUUUCAUGUGAGGGGGAUUCCCCAUCUCGUGAUACUUGAGGAAACUGGCAAAGUUGUGACUGAAGAUGGAGUUGAUAUUGUACGUGAAUAUGGUGUUGAAGCAUACCCCUUUACGUCAGCAAGGAUCCAAGAGUUGAGAGCUCAGGAAGAGGAAGCUAGGAGGAACCAGUCCGUGAGAUCUCUCUUGAUCUCUCCAUCUCGUGACUUUGUUAUAUCAUCCGAUGGAAACAAAGUAAGCUAGCAACUUCACUCUGUUUGUAUGAGAUAGCAGUUUCCAUUAGUUAAUGUUUGGUAGUUUGUUUACCUCUAAAGACAUUGUUCAUUUCCGAAUUUGACUUUCCUUUCAUGUGCACACACAUAGAUACUUGUCUCUGAGCUUGAGGGCAAGACAGUUGGUCUGUAUUUCUCUCUGAAUUCAUUCCAACGAAGCAGUGAGUUUACUCCAAAGCUAGUGGAUGUUUAUGAGAAGCUGAAGGCCAAGGGGGAGAACUUUGAGGUUGUUUUGAUACCCUUAGAUGAAGAUGAAGAAUCAUUCAAGAAAGUAUUAGGAAGUGUCCCUUGGUUAUCCUUGCCUUUCAAGGACAAAUUCUGCGGGAAGCUGGCUCAGUACUUUGAGCUUUCAACCCUCCCCACUUUGGUUAUCAUUGGGCCUGAUGGGAAAACUCUUAAUCCGAAUGUUGCUGAGGCUAUUGAAGAUCAUGGGGUUGAUGCAUACCCAUUCACUCCUGAAAAGUUUGUGGAGCUUGAUGAAAUUUUGAAGGCCAGGGAGGCAGCUCAAACCCUUGAGUCAGUUUUGGUGUCCGAGGAUCGUGGUUUUGUCAUUGGCAAAGAUGGGGUGCAGGUAAAACUUUUUAUGACAAAAAUUAUGUUAAGUUCAUACUCUCUUUCCCUUCUUCAUUUGUAGCAUACUAGCAUUUAUUAUUUCCUUUCAUUUCAGAUUCCUGUGUCAGAAUUAAAGGGGAAGGUUGUCCUGCUAUACUUCUCAGCCCACUGGUGUCCUCCAUGCCGCGCAUUCCUUCCAAAACUUGUUGAUGCAUAUCAAGAGAUUAAGGAAAAGGGAAAUGCAUUAGAAGUUGUUUUCAUCUCAAGUGACAAAGAUCAAGCCUCCUUUGAUGAAUUCUUUGGAGGAAUGCCAUGGUUGGCACUUCCCUUUGGCGACUCUAGGAAGAAAUUCUUGAGUCGCAAGUUCAAGGUAACUGGCAUCCCCAAGCUUGUGGCCAUUGGGUCAAGUGGCCAGACUUCGACAACUGAGGCUCGAGAUCUGGUUUUGCAAUAUGGGGCUCGUGCAUACCCUUUCACUGAGGAGAAAAUACAGGACAUAGAGGCAGAAGAAGAAGAGACUGCAAAGGGGUGGCCAGAGAAGGUGACACAUGAAACACAUGAGCAUGAGCUUGUGUUGACACGCCGCAAGGUGUAUUACUGUGAUGGUUGCAAUGAACAGGGUUACGCAUGGUCGUAUUACUGUGGAGAGUGUGACUUUGAUCUGCAUCCAAAAUGUGUAUUGGAGGAGGAUAAAGGAAGCAAAGAUGAUACUGAUGUUAAGGAAGAAGACAAGUCCAAAGAUGGAUGGGUAUGUGAGGGAGAAGUCUGCAAAAAAGUCUGAAAUCUGCUUGUCAAGCUUUGGGUGAUGAUUACUUGUUAAGGUCUUUCCAAUAUAAUAUUCAUAUCUGGUUGUGAUGGCAGUGGCUUUUCAUGUGAGUUAUGCAGAAUAAUCUGAAUAAAUUUGGAUGUUGUUGUUGUAUUGUGUUCUUAGAUUAUGGUCUUUAAUGUAUAAGGUAUGAUAGUUUACUCUAAUUCUUCUUUUAAAUAAUUAGAGUGUUCUAAACUUGGCACUUGCUUCCACAUGAUUAAAAUCUUCAAUAUUCUAAACAUAUCAUAUAAACGCAUUAUGGGAUACAUCUGAUUACUACAAAAUUUACGAUGGAGACAGUAGCCUAAAUUGUGAUUUUAUUCAUAUAAGUGAACACACCCUGAUUUGAAGAAAUCAAAGCCUUUUCAGUGCAAGGGAUCACUUUAUUGUUACUUUGAUGGUCAUCUUUAUGCGUUUGUUUGUCAUUAUUGGGGAAAAGUCAUUAGUAUGUCAUAAAUUAUACCCAUUUAUUUUAAUCUAGUUUGAUGCAUAUGGGGACAAGUUGCUAAUGUUACGUAACUUCCGUAAAAGAAUGUUCAUACGUUUACAAUUCUCCACUAGAUUAUAAUUUGAAAAAAAUAAUAUUUUAUUAAAAUGAAAUAAUUCUAAAAUUAUUAAUUAAGUCAUCUUUAUAAACUCUUAUUUUAUUAAUGUGAGUGCAAUUUGGUAAGGACUCCGCGUUACUUGAAGAGUCUUUUUGAAGGUGGACCUCCCUCUCUCAUCGGAUAUCAAUUAAAAGCUCGUUCCACGAGGAACACGCAGCUAGAGAGAAUCCUUCCUUUAAACUCUUCUAACCUGUAGACAACACUACUCUUCCAACCUCAAGUUCAGGAGAUAGCAUCAUUAGGGUCAAUUCUGAUAAAGACUUUGAAAGUAUAUUUUUAUCUAGACCAUUAUUUCAUGUAAAAAAAAAUUCACGUAAGAAAAAUAUUUUUUAAAAAUAAUUAAAAUUUUAUUAAUUAUAAAAAAAACUUAUUUUCACUAUUUGAAAAAAAUAAAAUUUCACCUUUAUUUCAAUUAAUUCCAUUAAAAUAAAAUUAUAAAAAAAUUUAAGUAUAAAGGUUGUAAAAAGACUUGAUUAAAAAUAAUUAAAGUUUUGUUUUACAUUUAUUUUUUUCUCUAUAGGUAUGUGAAUGUAUCCAGGUAUCUUACCAAAAUUUUUUGUUACAAAGUAUUUUAAUGAAGAUGACUAAUUUUUUUGUUACAAAAUGUUUUAAUGAAGAUGACUAAUUUUUUGUUACAAAGUGUUUUAAUGAAGAUGACUAAUUUUUUAAUAAAUCCCUUAUUGAAAUAUUUCUUUUACAUUAUUUUUUUAUUAACAAAUUUUAAAUAUAAAAUUUUACUUUAAUUUAAUCCAUUGUCAUUUUUAAUAUUAACUUUAUUAGAUUAUUAAAAUAAAAUAUUUUUUUUAGUAUAUUAAAUUUAAACUUAAAAAUAACUUUUUUUUUAUUUACGUGGACCAAUAUACUGUCCCAUUCCAUUAUUGGUCCGUGCAGAUUACGGGAUUUGCGAACUAGAUUACUAAGCUCACCCUCAUACAUUUUGGUACCUUAUACCAGCCAUCCCUAUUAUUUUUUUCCCUCAUUGGGUUCUAUUUAUAUAAAUAACAGUUUAUGGUGUUAACUGAGAAUUUCGUUACUGACAAACCAAAUUUUGAACGUGAAGGAGGUAUUCGUUGGUUGGAAAAUCAGCAAGAAUUUGAUUUCGGAACCGAAUUUCGACCUGGUAUUUUUUUUUUUCUUUUAAAAAUAAAAGAGGGAGGAAAAAAAAGUAAAAAUAAUAGUUUGUAACUUAAAUAAUUUGAGAAAUGAAUAUUUUGAGUAAAAGAGUAGAAGUAUAAAUAUCUUUUAAAUUAAAAUUGAGAAAGGUAAAAAAUAAUUGAGAAUUUUUUUUAAAAUAAUAAUAUAUAAAAGUAAUUAUUUUAAGAAGUAAUUAAUAGGAAGUAUAAAAUGUUGAAGAAAUAAUUUUUCAUAAAAAUUGAAUAUAUUUAUAAGUAAUUAUGCAGUGUUAUAUAGAAUUAAAAAUGUAAUAUUAGUACGUGUUUAUUUAUAAAUAAAUUUCUGACUAAAACAUGUAAAAAGUAUAAAAUAUAACUAAUUUAAAAAAAAAUAAGUUAAAAAUUUUUCAAACUACGGAUGAAUGAAAUAACUGAUUAAAUAAAUUAAGUAAUUGUUUAUAUUGUGUAAUUUUUUUUUCAGAUAUGGAAAUGUGAUUAAAUAAGAUUUUUGUGUAAUAAAUACGAUGGAAGCCAUUAGAAGAUUAUAAUAUAUUUUUUCAAAAAAAUUGAAAAUAUAAAAUAUUUAAGAAUGAAGUUAUGAUGAUUUGAAUUUAAUUAAAAAAAGUAAUAUCUAUAACAAGUUAAAUAGAAUUAAAUUAAAUAACAAAUAGAAAUUCAAUAAAAGUAAAUAGAUAGAUUUUGAAUUUAAUUAAAGGAAAUUGCAUAAGCAAAUGAUAUAUUGUUUCGUUCAUGAUAACGACAUAUUAUAGAAAUACAACAUAAUUAACUAUAUGAAGUUGAGUCUCGAAAAGAAACAUAAUUAACAUAAAGAUAAAGAUAAAGAUCAAGAAGAAAGAUGAAGCAAAAAGAGUUUUUCUGAGGGAUCAGACUUUCUUUAUAAGGAUAUGUGCUUGAGAGACGAGGCUUGUGGAAUGUGAAAGGAAAAUUUUUCAUAAGAAACGAAGGAGCAAAUUAAAUGAUGGUUAAAGUUUUCCAAUUUGAAAUAUGUCAUUUAAUCAUUAAAGCUCUUAAAUUUGUGAGAAAAACUAAAUAAAAAUUAAUUCUUUGCUCUAAUUCAGAAGGGUUAUACUAAGGCACAAUUAUCAUUUUAUUUUUGAGUUUUUCUUAUGGUGGAUCUUUUCCUUUUGGACACUUUUUAGGUGCUCAACUCUUUAGAUGAUGAUUCUAAUAUCAACAAUGAGAAUCACAAGGGAUGGUUAACUUGUGGUUUAAAUAAUUAAAACUUUUUGAAAAAGUACUUUAAUUAGAGGAACAUAGUUAAAAGCUCAUUUUAAGUUUAAUUCAUUUAACUUAGUAGGACCUAGUCAAACGAAGAUUUUACAACUUAGCUAAACCACUUGACUAAUAAAUAUUCAUGUUUAACCAAUAAUUAAAAACAUAGUUCAGCUUCUUCUAAUUAAAAAUCAAUAUAUUUAUAUCAAGAUCUUAUCAAAAGGAAAGUUCAAUAAAACAUUUGAAUAGACUCUGACGGAUGAACAUAAUUUUAUUCAAACUCAAAAACUUUAAUCAUAUGUUAUUGAACUAUAAUAAUAAGUAAAUUCAUUGUUUUAAUUAAGAUUCAUAUAAUUGGAUUUAUUUGGGCCUUAACUACUAUUUUUGUUAAUUUUGUAUUCUUAGAGUAAAUGGUCUAAAGGAAUUUGUCAAUGGGUCAAAUAUGCAAAAGUCCAAGUUGCUUCUUUAAAUCAAAACAGAAGAAAAUAUUUGAAAGGAUUUUAUGCAAAGUAUGAGAGAUUUUCUUCGCCUAAGGAGGAGUUGGAUCUUCUCCACCAAAAGUGGUGCCUCUAGCAUGGAAUGCGGAGGAGGUUGCAUGGAGCAUGCCUAUUUAAAGAGAGCCAAAAAAACACACAGCAGAGACCAAUAUCUCUAAGUGCAAAGUUGCUUCCUUUGUUUAUUUUUCUGCAUCUUUUUAUCUUUGAUUUUUGCCUCCACAUGGAAGGCUAAACCUUUUUUUAUUGAUUCCUUUGUAAUACCCCAUUAAGUUAUGAGGUUUUCAUCAAUAAAAGUUUCAUUUUUCAAUUCUUUAUAGCAAUUGUUUUAAUAUCCUAAUCCCCUGGAAAACUAAUUUUUGUGAGAGGUUGUACUUGAAUGCAUGAUUGGAGUCUUCCUUAUCUUAAACUCUGGUUUCUUAGUUAGUUCAUAUUGUUCUAAUUAAUUUCUUGGGCGCAUGAUUCAAGAGAGAGGAGAUAAGCACUCCUAUAGAGUACACAUAGAACAAAGUAGACACUGAUUAAACCAGUAGACACAUGCUUUACUGGUGAACUUCAAUUGAAUCAGAUUGAUGCAUGUUCAAUCUGGUUUAGCUAUGGUUGAUGAUUGGGAAAGGACUAAUCUUUAGAGAACUUGUGAAGAAUUCAAUGGGGGAAGAACUUGGGGAUCAACCGUUUUUUAUUUGUUGUUUUAAUCUCUUUUAUAUAUUAUGUUAAGAAAGCUAAACCCUUUUUAUCUUUAUUGUUAUUGCUAACAUUUUUUGCUUGCAGAUAGAUUUUAAACACUGAUUUAUUGAUUUCACUAUUGAAUUCGUUGAAAGACGAGUUUAGGUCAUCUGAUCACAAUUAUAUUAUCAUCUUUCUAGUAUUAGUUAGGUCUACGCUGAAAUCAUUUUAUUUUGACAGGAAAACGACAACUAUCACUCAUACAUCAACUUUUUGUCUUGGGUUAGUUUAGACAAGUAUAACAUGCAAUAUAACAAGAGAUAAGGAACUUAAAAGCCAUAAACAUUAAUUUUUACCCGUUCAUUUGUCAUAAUAGAGUACAUCUAGUUCUUGACUAACUCAUUCCAGUUUAACUAAGCCGAUUGAUGUUAUGAAGUACAAAUAAAGUAUUUUUUGGGCUAGUAUGGCUAACCCCUUGAGUAUUCUUGACACCAACCACUCCUGGCUAAAGUGAGUAUUCUUUGAUCAAACCACUCUUGGCUAACCUUGAGUAUUCUUUACACCUAGCCGCUCCUAGCUAACUCUGAGCAUUCUUUACACCCCACCACUCCUAGCUAACCAAGUAUCUUUUUUCAGAAUGUAGAAUUCCUGGCUGACACCGUCACAGAGUAUUCUUUACUCAAGCAACUUCUAGCUGAGCUAAAGUAUUAUUUUCCAAACAACAUUUCUUGGCUAAGAUCCAAAGGAAUAGUCUUUUAAUGAUCUAAUGAUCAUUGGGUUUAAUGACUAAGGAGGAUUGUGUCUGAUGAUGAAUACAACGAUUAAGCUUUCUCUCCUAGUUCAGAUCAUCUUACUCUUUAGGGAAGGUAUCAUUUUUUUAUGUAUAUAAUGAUUUGAAUCACUUUCCUAGGAAGUUGGAUGAACAUUGUAAGUGUUUUCGGUUAGGUUUCUCAAGAACCUAUCACAUUAAUCUUCUUUCAACUUGAGGAUCCUUCUAGUAAGCUAUGAGGUUGUGUUAUCACCUUAUCAAAAUAUAUGUGUGGUGCAACUUAUGCUCUAUUGGGUUUGAGGAGUCCUCUUCUUGUGAAUAUCAUGUUUGGCAUUCCAUAUCCUCUCCUCUAUGUAUCUCCCCAUCAUCGCAUAUUUCUUCUUGGCAAAUUUUCUUUUUAUAGGCUUGUUGAAGAAUGUAGUCGUUAGAUGAUCAUUUAUAGUCAUUGAGAAUUUUUAGAUUCUAUAUAUUGUUCGUUCUGCAUUUGAAAAACUUUAUCAUGAUUGGUGCAUUUAAUGCAACCUUGAUCUUCACUCCUUUUUCUUCAAAACUCCUUAGGUAGUGUAACUUUGAUUUUCCCCGACAAGUAUAUUGAAUCAAUUGUAAUAUAGUACUAUUUAAAGUAUGAAUGUCGAACCCACAAGGAACAAUUUUAAUUAAAAUGUUCUGAUAUAAAACUCAUUAAGUAUAGAAAAUAACUGUGAGAACUUGUUCAUAAUCAAAUUAACGAUUUUACCAGAAAUAACUCAAAGUUUAAGAUUCGAUUCAACAAGUGAUGAAAUUAACUUAUCAAAUAUAGAUAAAAAGAAAUACUUGGGAUUGAAUUGCUUCUAUCUCAGUCAUCUAUAUUUUGGAAUAAUACAAUAUAUAAUACUCAAAACUACUUAUUCUUGGUGUUGUAAUUUGAAGUCAUUCACCUUGAUUCCUCACAGAUGAAAUUCAUAAGAUAAUUUCUCAAACACUGAUUCCUUAGAUAUCUAACAAAUCAUCUAACUUUAUGAACAGAACUAUGAUGCAAUUAAUAACCUGAAAUUUAUUCCUAGCAUUACAAGUUAUCAAAUAUUUCCGUCUAUCUUAGAUCCAUAGAAAUACUUUCUAGUUAAAUUUAAGGAUCAAAAUUAAGACUCCAUUGAUCAUAUAGAAUCCAGAAAUAAGCAUGAAACGAAAAUAAAAUAUUAUAUAUAUAUAUAUAUAUCACCAAGAAUACAUUUGAUCAGAGUAUAUUACAUUCAAUCCCAAGUUUGAAAGCACUUAGCUGCUCAUGAUAGCUUCUCAAAUCUUCAUUCCUUAUCUGAAUUUCAUAAGAAGGGUUAAUCUAAGCAAGUUCUUCUCCUAAGAACAAAAUUUUCUUCUUUUUCUCUCACUAACUUCUUCUUCUCUCCCCUUCAUUGAUUUUGUUUUAACUCUGUUCCAAAAUUUAUUUAAUGAAAUCUAGCUCAAGCGAGUUAACCUAGCUUAGGCUAGAUAUUUAGGUGUUGUUUUAGCUUGGGCGAGCGAUUCUAGCCUGAGCUAGUUUAGUACUACACCAUUAACUUAAUCUAAAUAAUUUUAGCCUGGGUUAAAUGUUCUAGUUUGAGUGAGAUGCUUCCUUUAAAUUUCCUUCUUUACUUCUUCUUGUGAUCCAAUCUAUAAGUCUUUGCUUUCUUUCUUUUAAUCCUUCACAUUCAUCUGAAAUUUACACAAAUUUACACACAUUUGUUUCCUGAUUCAAAAUAUAUAAUCGAAUUCAAUAAUUCUCAUAUUAGAUAGUCAGGUUAGAGUUGAGAAUCUCUUUAUGUGAGAAAAUUGAUGAAGAAAACAACUUUAGCUCGUAUCUCGAGAGAUCUUUAAUAUCUAAAUUCAAAUUAUCUCUUUAAAAGACAAACAUUACCUACACACAUAACAUAAGCACAUCGAUGUUUAAUUUAAGUACGAGGUUUGCUUAGCCCAUGUGUCAUUUGAUGCCUGUUUCAUCUAUUCUUAUUUGCACCUUACUAGACGUAGUGAAAAGACUGCACAAUGUUGUAUUAUUUGUCAUGAUUUGUUGUUUUUUAUCGUCUUACAAACAAAUUGUGGUAAUGUUUUACACUAGUUUCUUUGAAGCACAAAUUAAAACCUUGGGAUGUUGGACUUUUUCCUUAACAGUCCUUGACCACAUCUUUGUAAGACCUAUUGUUUGAAUGUUUCGAACGACAUUCCUCUACGAAUGCCCAUCAUGAUGACAUUUGUACUUUGGAAACAACACCUGUGUGGGGAAAUUAAAAAUCUCCUCAUCAUCAUACAUGAUUGUUCAAAUGGAAGAAGCCAUUUCAAUAGAAAAGGAAUGGAACUUAGCUAAAUCUUGAAGGAUACAGAGAUGUAGAUCAGAUACCUAUAUUGUUCAACAAGAUAGAACUUAUUUGUAUUAAAUUCAUUGAGAUUACUUGCUUCAUUUCCAAUAUUGUCUUUGUAUUGCUAAUACUAACUCAAACCAUGUGUGGAAUGACAUGGUAGACAGACCACAUAUCGCUUGUCAAGAUCUGGCUAUUGUAAUACACUAACACAGUAAAAACUGCAGAAGUCAUGUCUAUAGGUUCAACUGUUGAGUCAAUUGAUUGGAUAUUCCCUAGCACGUGUAAGUUGCAACAUUUAUAGAUCGUGAAGGUCAACAUGUGUUAUGGUGAAUGAGUGGUCUACAAUAGAUAUAAAAAAAAGCAAUUCUUAUUAUGGCUUGCAUGGUCACGAUGCAAUUUUAGUGGUUCAAUAGGUAAAAAUAAGAAUGUGAAGCUUGACAUUCCUCCUUAGAAGCUCUUCUCAAACUUUCUCCACUAGAGAAACAUUAAAGUUAAGUAAAUGGUUAGAAUAAUAAAAAAAAACUCAUUUUACUCUCUCUUUUUCACUCUUUCUUUCUUUCCCUUCUUUUCUCUUUUUUUAUUUAUUUUCAUUAUGAACUUAAUUUGUUCCUCAAUUGUAUUUUUUUUGAAAGUAGAGCAAGUUCAACCUUAUGACCUUCAUAUACAACAUAAAUAUUAUUAUUGUCAUCAUAUCAUUUUAAAUUUCUUUCAAUUUACCAAGAUAUACCGAACAAUUAUAAUACGAUGAGUUACAUCACACAACAUGACAUUUUUAUGUUUUCAAAUAAUAAAUUUCCCUAACUAUUAAAUGAUACGGAUGCCAGAGUUAUAGAAGGAUCCUAAUAUUAAUUGGGUGUCUUUUCUAAUUAUCCGUUGUUUCUCUUUAUAGAAGAGAAUAAUUUGGUGUCUUUUCUAAUUAUCAGUUGUUUCUCUUUAUAGAGAUGAAUAACUUUUAUUUUGUCUUUGUGUGUUAUGAUUCUAGUAUUUAAUUAUUUAUCCUUUCCCUCUUUAGUUAAACCUAGAAUGAGUGUACUACUUGUAUAUAUUCAGACCAUUUGAUUUGAUUUGAUUUGAAUAACAAUAAAAAAGAGAUAUUCAUUCUCAUAUCUUUUACAUUCCUUUUACUCUUUUGUUAAUCUUUUGUUCUCUUUUAUUCAUCUCUGUUCUAUUUCAUAAUAUGGUAUCAGAGCUCUGAUUAUAGCUCUGGUUACUACAUUUAUCCAUGGGUGAAGUUGUUGAUCCCUCACAAGAUCUUUGUUCACCCUACCAUGUUAGUUCAUCAGAUAAUUCAUCCUUGAAUAGAGUUUACUCUCUCAUUACACAAAGGUUAUAAAAACAAUGCUACGACCUAUGGCAUGGCAUGGGUGGUGGAUAUGGAAAAGAAUUUACUUCCAAAAUUUGCAAUUAUUGUGGAAAGACAGGCAUACCAUUGAUACAUGCUAUAAAAAGCGUGGUUUUCCACCUCAUUUCAAAUUUAAAAAUCAGGACCAUCAUCAGAUUCAUGCAGCCUUUCACAAUACAAAUUUUAACAAUAAUGAGCAGAAUCAUGAAGAUUCAAAGUCAGAAGUGAAGUCUCAACAAAUUGGUUUUACUCCUGAGCAGUAUCAAACAUUGUUAGCUCUUUUACAACAGGUCAAAUUCAGUGACAAUGUUUCUAGUCAAGUCUCUUUUAUUCCUUCCAACAUGACAACACAAGAUGGUAAUAACUUUAUUUCUUCUUUUAAUUCUUGGAUUAUUGAUAGUGGUGCUACUGAUCACAUUUGUUCAUCCUUAACUUACUUCACUUCAUAUCAUCAAAUUAAUCCUAUUUAUGUCAAAUUACCAAAUGGAAAUCAAGUCAUUGCCAAUUAUUCUGGAAGUGUUUUUCUCAAUUAAAAUCAUGUCAUAAACAAUGUUUUGCAUAUUCCUUGUUUCACUUUUAAUCUUCUUUCAGUAACAAAAUUGUUUAAUAGACUAACUUGUGUUCUUACCUUUGAUUCUAAUGGUUGUCACAUUCAAGACAAAAACUCAUUGAAAAUAAUUGGUUCUGCUAAGAUGCAAGAUAGACUUUAUAUACUUAGGAUCCCAUCUUACCAGAAAUUUCAAAUUAAACCCCUUAAAUCUACACACACCAUCAAUACUGUUAAUGUCAGUGCUAGUGAUCUAGAAACCCUUUGGCAUUUUCGAUUAGCUCAUAUUUCAAAUAAAUGUAUUGAUGUUAUCAAGAAUAAAUUUCCUUUUGUUAAAUAUAACAAAUCUUUUGUUUGUGAUGUUUGUCAUUUUGCAAAGCAAAAAAGACUUUCUUUUCCUAUUAGUACAUCUAAAUCAAAAAAAUGUUUUGAUUUGAUUCAUGUAGAUGUUUAAGGAUCAUACUCAAUACCAUCAAUUCAUGGUCAUAAAUAGUUUUUGACCAUAGUUGAUGACUAUUCGAGGUACACAUGGAUUUUUCUUUUGAAACAAAAAUCUGAAGUUGUUAAGGUUUUGGAAAAUUUUGUUAUUUUUGUUCAAACACAGUUUGAGACAACAAUAAAAAUAAUAAGAAGUAAUAAUGGAACUGGAUUUUUCAUGACUAAUUUUUUUGUCAGUAAAGGAAUAAUACAUCAAACAUCAUGUGUCAAUACUCCACAACAAAAUAGUAUAGUUGAAAGGAAACAUGGUCAUUUAUUAGAUGUAGCAAGAGCUCUUAUGAUACAAUCUCAUUUACCCAAAAUUUAUUGGUCAUAUUCUGUGAUACAUCCUACGUAUAUUAUAAACAUGCUUCCCACACCUGUUUUAAAAUAUUAUUCUCCUCAUGAAAUGCUUUUCCAAACUGAUGCAGAUUUUAAUGGAUUAAAGGUGUUUGGUUCUUUAUGUUAUGCUAGCACUUUGUCAACAAAUAGAAGAAAAUUUGAUCCAAGAGCAUCAAAAUGUGUUUUUAUUGGUUUUCCAAGGGGGACAAAAGGAUAUAUUUUGUUGAAUAUUCAAUCAAGAGAAAUUUUUGUGUCUAGGGAUGUUGUCUUNNNNNNNNNNNNNNNNNNNNNNNNNNNNNNNNNNNNNNNNNNNNNNNNNNNNNNNNNNNNNNNNNNNNNNNNNNNNNNNNNNNNNNNNNNNNNNNNNNNNNNNNNNNNNNNNNNNNNNNNNNNNNNNNNNNNNNNNNNNNNNNNNNNNNNNNNNNNNNNNNNNNNNNNNNNNNNNNNNNNNNNNNNNNNNNNNNNNNNNNNNNNNNNNNNNNNNNNNNNNNNNNNNNNNNNNNNNNNNNNNNNNNNNNNNNNNNNNNNNNNNNNNNNNNNNNNNNNNNNNNNNNNNNNNNNNNNNNNNNNNNNNNNNNNNNNNNNNNNNNNNNNNNNNNNNNNNAUUAUCAUUGUAAUCUUAAUGUUUCUGGUACAUCUUCAAGGGUUAAAUAUCCUUUGAAUUAUGUUUUGUCUUAUAGCAAUUUAUCACCUUCUUACAAAUCUUUUGGUAUGUCUCUUUCUUCAUAUGUUGAGCCAAACACUUAUUCUGAAGCUGUGAAACAUGACUGUUGGAGAAAAGCUAUACAAUGUGAGAUAUCUGCUUUAGAGUCAAAUCAAACUUGGGAGACUGCUCUUCUUCCUAAGAACAAAGCUGCCAUAGGUUGCAAAUGGGUAUUCAAAAUAAAAUAUAAGGCUGAUGGGACAAUUGAAAGGUAUAAAGCAAGGUUAGUGGCAAAGGGAUAUACACAAACAGAAGACAUUGACUACCUUGAUACUUUCUCUCCAAUAGCAAAGAUGACCACCAUAAGGUUGCUUCUUUCUUUAGCUUCUAUUUAUAAUUGGAAUUGAAACAAUUAUUCAUAAACAAUGCCUUUUUACAUGGAGAUUUGAAAGAAGAUGUAUACAUGGUUGCUCCUCCUGGAUUGACUUCUAUUCCACCAGAAAAAGUUUGUAAACUAAAAAAGGCUUUAUAUGGCCUUAAGCAAGCUAACAGAGAAUGGUUUGCCAAACUGUCAUCAUUUUUGCUUUCUAUGGGAUAUACUCAAUCUAUGAAUGAUCAUUCCUUGUUCAUUAAUUCUUCUGAAGGAUCUUUUACAACAUUAUUGGUAUAUGUGGAUGAUAUAAUAUUGGCAGGAAAUGAUAAAGAAGAGAUUGCUCGAAUCAAACAAGCCUUGAAUCAGACAUUCAAGAUUAAAGAUCUUGGGAAUUUAAGAUAUUUUCUUGGUUUAGAAAUAGCAAGAAGUAAGACAGGAAUAAUGGUAAAUCAAAGGAAAUAUGCAUUGGAAUUAUUAACAGAUGUAGGUCUUUUAGCCUGCAAACCUGCACCCACUCCUAUUGAUAAUCAUGAGAAAUUCUCUUCUAGUGGAACUGUUCCUUUCACAGAUAUUCAAGCCUACAGAAGAUUGAUUGGAAGGCUUAUGUAUCUCACUACUACCCGACCUGACAUAACACUUUCUGUGCAACAACUUUCUCAGUUUCUUGCUAAGCCUACAAUUGCUCACUAUAAUGCAGCGAUUAGAAUUCUCAGAUAUAUCAAAAGGGCUCCAAGUCUUGGUCUAUUUUUCUCUUCCACUACCUAUGUUCAUCUCAAAGCCUUUUGUGAUAAUGAUUGGGGCACCUACAGUGAUUCAAGACAAUCAAUAACUGGUUUUAGUGUGUUUCUUAGGAAUUCUCUUAUAUCUUGGAAAUAGAAGCAAGGAACAAUAUCAAAGAGUUAUUGUGAAGCUGAAUACAGGACAAUGGGUCACUGUUACAUGUGAAAUUCAAUGGCUAACUUAUCUUCUUCAAGAUUUCAAAGUUCCUUUUGAGCAACCAUCUCUUUUAUACUGUGACAAUGA
rnacentral:lncRNA from 1 species